GCUCAGAAAUCAAGUGAAAAGUAUUUUCCACAUUGGAUUUAUGAUCAUUUUAGACAAGGUGAUGGAUUACAAGCAUGUGAGGUCUCAAGUGAAGAUGAAGGAAUAGCCAAAAAGAUGAGUGUGAUUGGCCUGUGGUGCAUCCAAAUACUACCAAUGCAUCGCCCUACAAUAGCAAAGGUUUUGGAAAUGUUUGAGCGAGGUUUAGAUGAUUUGGACAUGCCACCGAGACAAAACUUCAGCCAAAUUCUGUAAGAUGUUCACGAUACUUAUUUCUGCAACUGCUCACUACUAUUUACUAUAGCAUUGAUGUUUUAGAAACAAUUUUUUUCAUUCUUUUGCAGCGAGGAUCCAUCUUACAAUUUGAAUGCAGAAAGCACGAGUACAAGAAGUGGUACCAAAACUCAAGUUUUUAGCGAAGUGCUAAAAAUGAAGGAGAUGAGCGUUGUGAAUUCAAAAAGCUUACAUCGGCUACCAACUCUGUGACAAGGUUACCUAGCAUUGGAAUUAUGCACUGAACUUAUGCAUCUAUAUGAGAGAGGGUAGAAAUCUUAAGUUACUCUGAUACUUGUCUCAAAAGAAACAUGCCUACUAUAAUAUUUUGCAUUCAAAGUCAUUAAGGUCCCAAGAAGGAAAGUUUUGCAACUAUGCAUACGAUAUUUUGACAUAAUCCUAAUAUUUCUAUAUUUUUGUUAGUUAGACCUUCUCAUUGUUCUUCGUCGACGUACCAGCACACCUUAUAGUCAUCCAUCACCAAAAAUCUCCCAAAUGCUAAUUUUACAUUUUUACCAGAAUUAGGUAACUGAAAAGGUAUCCAAGACAUUACACAUACUAGAAAAAAAUCAAGGCAUCACAGUUUUCAAGUCAUGGCCUUAUUAGUAGAGUCGAUCAGCAUAUAGUUGGAUCCUGGAUUAUUGCCAUGUUGAAAUACGAGGAUGAAGGCAUGAAGCUGAUCGUAGCCAUGAGUCACGACACACAUAUAACUGAGGCCUAAAGGGGCAUAAAUUUUGCUUGACUGAUUGAGUUAGGUUCCAAACACCGGUGCAUCAGCUAUGAAGUUUCUUAGUUUAAUCUUCAGGUUCCAAUCAAAAGUUAAGGUUGACAGUUGAAACCCACAAGCCGUCCAAGUGAACCCAAAAAAGAAAACUACUCAAUCCAAAUACUCAUGGUCUCAAUGCAAAAUCAGAAUACGUUUUCGAACAAUAGAAGCACCAAAUGAAAUUGAUCUACGCAUCUGAUAACUAAAAAUCAUAUCUGUGGGUAAAUCGAUUAUAAUUCUUCUGGAAGUAUGGAACCAGUCGAAGUGCGUGAUACUUACAAGGGUAGGUUAGGCAUGCGUACCCAAAGGGUUUACGCCACUGAUGGUGCAAGAUUGGAUUAGUGCUGCAGCCUCUCCAUCUGCCACCCUAAUCACCGGCACGGAGCCAGCGAUGCAGCAAGGUGCAGAGUGGAGAGUUUUUUUUGGGAGAUUUGCUCAUGCCCUCAUGGGAUGGUACCAGAUACCAGCUGCUAUUGCGCCGUAGGAGAUGGCUGGGGAUGGUGUUGUAACUGCUGUUCACUGCUGCGCGUCUCGACGGCGAGACGGCAACGGCAGCAGCUCGGCUACUCAUUCGUCAGGCGUUGCGGCCUAGAGCGGAUCUCCAUGGACCGAGCCCAUCUAGUGGUGAGGGUCCAUCAUGAAAAGUUGGACCGUGCCAGGUCCAUGUAGGCACGCCGUCGCCUCCGAUGACCCAAUGCAAUUUGUCAGCGUUUCCAAAAAAAAUACAAUUUGUGUACUUUAAAGAAAGAAUACAACUUAUCAGAGAAAUUCCACAUGUAUAUGAUCUGUGGUCUAUGCAGAUCCCAACAAACAUCAGUAUUUGGGAAGGUGACAGGGGUUUUGUUUUCAGGAAGCUGGUGUUGGAGGUAUGCCCUAGAGGCAAUCAUAGAGAUGAUGACAUUCCAUUUGUAUCCAUGAUUUGUAUGUUGAAUAUCCAUUGAAGGCUACUUGAAUUGAUUUGCAAUUAUGUGAAUUGUAUGUGAAACUCUUUACUUGUAUGGUUAUUCUAAAGUUGUCCCUAGUCGGAGUUCAUGUGAGGACACACAUGAAUAUUAGACUAGCACAUGUAUUAGUUGAUGACUAUGUUUCACAAGUCAUGGACAUGGAGAUGUUGAACUAAUAAUGUGGACACAUGUGGAGACAUGUGCUAGGACUGACCCAACACGAGAAGUAGUUCUCUCUUUAAACAACAUAUACGCUUUGUCCUUAGACCUGAGAUUGUCGCAUGUAUUCUAGAUGUGGAUCGACCUACUUAGGGGCUAUCAAACGCUACGCCGUAACAGGGUAGUUAUAAAGGUAGUUUUCGGGUUUGUCAAGAAGCAUGCUAUGAGACAUGGUCAAUCAAGAUGGGAUUUGCCCCUCUCUGAUUGAGAGUGAUAUCUCUGGGCCCCUCGAGUGAUCGGAUCCGAAAAUGCAUGGCCAUGCUACGUACGGUUAAGAGUUAACCUACAAAGGGAUUCCGAAUCACAGGAUCGAGAAAGAGCGGUCGGCUUGAAGCUAGACCAAAUAUCGUGAGGCAAAGGGAAUAGCAUGUAUAUUAUGUUGUGAUGGUUCGUCUGAUAUGAUCUUCGUGUGCGUAUAGGAGUUGGCACGUCUUGCUAGAGGCCGCUACCGACUAUUGGGCCGAGUAGGAGUACUCGGGCCAUGUCUAUACGUAUCCGAACCCAUAGGGUCACACACUUAAGGGGCUGGAAGCCCAAUUCGGAUCUGAUCCGAGUUGGAUUAGGUUUAGAAGUACUAAUGGGCCUCGGAUCCAGAGGUCCGUCAGGAACCUCUAUAAAUAGAGGGGUGGGGGCGCCCUAGGGUUUACACCUUUUUGGCGAAAACACACCUGCCGCGCCUCCCACGCCCUCGCCUGUUGCAACUCGCGGAUCUAGCAGUCCGGCUUGCGACGCUUCCUCCCUGCACGUGUGGAUACCUUGGAGGUGUUGCGCCUGCAGCACUUGGACGAGCCGCCGACGAGCCACCGACGAGCCACGACGAGCCGACGACGAGCCGCGGCACCGGAGGCGAUCUUGCUGCACGUGGACGAGCUGCUGAGGAGCUGCUGGACGUGAUCGACUACGUACGACUACGUUGAUCGACUACGUACGACUACGUAAUCGUCUUCACUGCAUCGACGCAUAUCUACAUCUUCCGCACCAGUAGUGCGUCGAGUGGUAAUCCCGUGAUCCUUAUACGGCAGUUCUUCCUGGUUAUACGCGGUAGAAUUUUGAAUUGCGCUAGUGUAGCCUACCUCGUAUCCCUACAGCUGGAUGCAUAACCUGGACGUUUUAGGUUGUGUUGUGUGGUGAAUACAGUGCUAGUCGUCUCCUCUGAUGCUCUCUUGAAAUGGCCGAGUGGCCGACGAUGUUUGUACCGGUCUGGAGUCCUUUCAAUAUCUAACUGUUGCCAGCUGUAUGUAGUUAACUUUCAAGGCUAAUCCCAGUGGGAGUUUCAUAGAUGUUUCAUGCACAUUAAAUACGGUGACACAUCAGCAUAUGUGAUGACAUGGCAUGGUAGUUAUGAAGUGAGAGAGGGAAGGGGUUUCAUCAGGAUGAAACUGUGUAUACACUGUUUCCAAGACUAUGAAACCUAUUGGAACUUGCAUUGGGGGCUAUAGAGUUUCAUUUCAUCUAACCAUAUCCAAUCACAUGCCUCACAAUUAAAUGUCAUGGGCAUCCUAUGAAAUUGUGAAAUGAAACUGUGCACUGGAACUCCCUGUUUCAUUCAUGAGAAUACACCUCAUGGGAUGAUGUGGCAUCCUUAGAAACAGUGCAAUGAAACCUUGCACUGGGACUAGCCUUAGUGUUUGGCAUAAAUGAGUGAAGCUUGCUUGGCCGACAAGAGCAUGUAUUACCCGGAGCUGAUCAAGCUCAGGGCGGGCAUCCAGUCACGGCAAUGUCUCAUGACAGUCGUCGCUUUGCCCGUCCCAUACGGGCACAUCGGACGUUUCCGUGCGCGCAUGACGAUGGUCCCAACGUGUCCACUCAAAGCUUUCUGCCGCUACAGUCUACACAGGGCGCGCGGACUCACCAGCUUCACCAUUUAGUCUGGCGCUUGUGCCUAUCUAUCUUGGUCUUAGAACUGAUUCACCACUCUGUUCGUCCUGCUACUGCCAUCAUCGAAACCUUCCCGCGCCAUACGCUCCCAUGGCUCCGUCGUCCUUGCUGCUCUUCCUCAUCUCGUCGGUGCCAGGUGAUGCUUGCGGCAGCAGCAGCAUACGUGCAAAGGAGGAAAGGACCGCGCGCCUGUGGUAUGCGGCAACCUCAGCAUCUCCUACCCGUUUGGCGUUUGGCGUUUGGGUUACUCUCGGAGGAAGCAACGGAGUAACUGCGCAGCGCAGUGCUCGGAUUCCAAGUCGUUUGCUCAGGCAACACCCUUUACCUCGGGUUAGGUUUUAAGGUAUCGUUGUAGAUUCUCAACAUCUUCUACGGCAUGGGCUCCUUACUCGUUGCCGAUGUCUACAAGCUCCACGACUUCAAUAGCUCCGCGCCCAACUGCUGCCAUGCCCCAGGUGUCAACGUCUCCACCAAGCCCAUUCUCAAUCAGCCCCGUCAAUCAGAACCUCAUAUUUUACAACUGCACCAAGCCAGCGGCAGAGGAGGUGAGGCAGAAACGCGGCCUUGUGGGGACGGCAUGCCGCAACAACACGUUUGUUCGCGCCGGAGGUAGUUACGACGACGAGGGGUCGGGCAGCUACAGCAAUUACUUUCUGGAGGGCUGCAACGCUACCGUCGUGCCGGUGCUUGGGAAUUCUGGCGAGGCGAACGCGAGCAGAUCCGAGAAGCUCAUCAGCGGCGGCUUUCUCUUGACAUGGUACGGUCGUCGUCGCCAGGUAAAUUUCACUAAGAUUAAUUUAAGACCAUCCUACAGGGAGAACGAUGAGCGCACGCGCGAGCAGCGGCAUGAAGGUCCAUGUGGGCGGCGGUGGCAAGCUCUGCACCGCGCCGGCGAGGCCGUGUGUUCGUCGACGGCGGCGACCGCGCGAGUAUGGUGGUGGCGAGAUCUAGCUAGGUGUGCUUUGCGCACGAGUGCACUUUGGCGGCGUUGGCAGCAAACUCGGGGUGGCCAUGCACGAGCUCGAGGGGCGCUGCCGCGACGGCGGGCUCAAGGGACGGGGCCACGGCCAGCUCAAGGUGGCAGCCACCACAAGCUCCGCCUGUAACACAGAUCGAAGGAAAAGUUGAAUUGCUGGAGUCCAAAUCGAAAUUCUAUGGUCCAGAUCGAAGCACAGGAGGAAAAUGAGAGCUUUCAUCAGCAAGGUGCAGGCUUGCCAAUGGAAUAGAAAAUAGAAAAGGAGGCGCGUUUCAAGGCACGGCGAGGCCUGCAGGUGGGCAGCCAGACGUGGACGGCGGCGGCCAUAGGCGGCUGGAGGCGACACGCACGGCGGGAGCCGGGGAGCACGCGCGGGCAGCCAAACGCCGGCGGCCACAGCAACGGGGCGCGCGGCAGGCCAUGCGGGCGGCCGCCACCACGGGCCUGGCGUGGUUGCUCUCAAGCGGCGACUCGCGGACAGCGCAUGGCGGGGCACCAUGGCUACAUAGCGUAGGCGACGGCGACCUCCAUGGUGUGGGGAGCCAUCGAGACGACUUUUUUGUAUUUUUAGAUUUUUUUGAAAGAUUCUCACAAAUACGUCGAACCAAUUUUAAAAAUGGAUCCUUAGCUUGGCACCAUCCACGCUGGCGCCAAGCUACAACGUCUCGGUGCCAGCCACCCUAGCGCCAAGAUCCAUGCGCAGCUGCUGACGCGGAUGUCGAUGGCGCCAAGCUUGACGCCGUAGAUCAUGGCGCCGAGCUAUUUACCCCGUACUUCUUCGCAUUUCGAACUAAACAAGUACAAUUAUUCCGAGGAGUGUGCAAUAAACUAAACUGUGGUUCAACCGGUUAGGAGGUGGGCUUCUUAUCUUGGAGACUUGAGUUCAAACCCCUGUGUUGAACCUUUUUUUCUACAUGACCUUGGCGUCAGGAUGGCUGGCGCCGAGACGUUGUAGCUUGACGCCAGCUAAGGGUCUAUUUUUAAAAUUAGUUUCGUCGUGAGCCUAUUUGUGAGAAUCUUUCGUAAAAAGGGUUUAAAAAAAGUCAGCCAUCGAGAUGGAGCUGCAGGAUGGGUCUCACGAGUCACGAGGGUGGAAACGAGGCCAUGCCCGCAUCGCUAAAAUCGCUGGUUUCAUCAUCUUUGGUGUUACCGAGCCGACAUCGUUUCUCAGGAAGGAAAUCGUUUCCUUCUCUCUUCAAUAAAUGGCUAGCCACAUCAACAAUUCGUCUACGUGACUGUGUAUUUAUUAAUAUGAAAAUUAUUCUCGUCACUGUGGUGGACUGCCUUGAAACGUGAGAGGAGGGUUGCCAUUCGAUUUUCAUUAGAUACAAGCCGGUAGCUGGACGUGCAAAAUCGAAAACUAUAGACCUAGCUUGGUUACUCUUGCUUAUUUUUAUUUUUAGUACCCGUUGUAUCGAAUGUUUAGAUACUAAUUAGGAGUGUUAAACUUAGACUAUUUACAAAACUCAUUAUAUAAGUGGAGGCUAAACGGUGAGAUGAAUCUAUUAAGUCUAAUUAGUUAAUGAUUUGACAAUGUGUUGCUACAGUAAACAUUUGCUAAUGAUGAAUUAAUUAUGUUUAAUAGAUUUGUCUCGCCGUUUAGCCUCCAUCUGUGUAAUGGAUUUUGUAAAUAGUCUACGUGUAAUACUCCUAAUUAGUAUCUAAACAUUUGAUGCGACACGUGUUAAAAAUAAGCAAAGGGAACCAAAAGACUCGUAAUUAUGAGAAAGGUUAGUGACAAUAGGACAACACUGAAUGUCAAUAUUGCUUCUUCUUCCCGUUGGACCUCCGCCUCCCUUGCACACAUCCCCAUUCCUCAAUCCCGUCCAUUUCGCAGCCUCCUAGCUCCUAUACUGAUCGAAUAACAAGCUUGAUGCAUCCGGCCCUGGUCCUCUUCCCGCUGGCCGCCUCCUUGCUCCUCCUCCAAGACCAUGCAAGCGCCGACUGCGAGCCGGCGACAUGCGGGAACCUCACUCUCAGAUACCCAUUCUGGCUGGGCAGCGGCAACCAGACCUCAUCACCCUGCGGCCACCCGUCCUUCGAGGUCUGGUGCAGCGACCGCCGCCGGAGCGUAGCCUCACUGAAGGGCUCCUCCAUGCACAUCCUCUCCAUCGAUUACACCAACUACUACUUCGUCGCCUCCCACACCAGGGUCGCCGCCGCCGACGGCGUGUGCCGCACCGACUUCAACAUGUCGAUCAGCAUCGCGCUCAGCCCGUUCACCAUUAGCCCCCGGAACCGCGCCCUGUGCUUCCUCUACAACUGCACCGGCGGCGCGGCCCCGAUCGGGCCCGACGAGUACGUGAACGCCACCUCCAUCAGCUGCCGUGACCCCAUCUACGCGUACCUCGGCGGGGCCUACUACUGGGACAAGCCGCCGGCGAUCGCGUCGGACGGGUGCACGUACACGUACAUCCCAGUGCUGGGGCGGGAGGCGGAGACCAUGACGGCGGCCAACUACAGCCGGCUCCUGAAGGACGGAUUCGUCCUGGAGUGGGAGGCGGCAGGGAUCGGCGACUGCGCCGCCUGCAACGCGAGGGGCGGGAAGUGCCGGUACGACAAAGCCACCGCGGCGUUCCGGUGCCUCUGCCCCGACGGCAGCCGCGCGGCGGGGUCGACAUGCUCCGGUGAGUAGUCACUCUCCCACUUCCCUCCGUACACGUACAGUAGUCAGCGUGUGUGGACGCCGGCGGGCGACCCGGCGCAUGCCGCUUUCAGCUGCAAGACUUUCUUGGUCCAUUGCAUCAUGCGGAUUGCGGCGUGGCGAAGGCGCAGCGGCGCUGGCGCAUGCAUCGGCGUCGCGGUAGUGCUGCCCAUGGGGUUGGAUCCUCGUAGGCCCCAUGGAGAUUUUGCACGCAGCUCUCGCUCUCAGUAACCUUGGCUAGUUUCCCUCGAUCCACCGGUAGAAUGGCCCGCGGCAGCUGGAGUGAUGGCUAUCUUAAGACUGUGUGGCGCGCGCACUGGCCACGCCGCAAUCCCUGGUAAACGCGUGUGCGGUCAAUGUCGUCUUCCCUGCCGGGGCAGCAGAGCGCUCGCCGCGGCGCGGAGCAACAGGGGAGGGGGCCUGCCGCUGCCGGGCGUCGCUUUCGCCUGCCAUUAGCUUCUCCACGUGCUCUUUCGCGCAUGAUCGUUCCCAUUAAGGGUGUUUGAUACGAGCUGCUAUAGGAGGGUCAUAUCGGAUGUUCGGAUGCUAAUUAGGAGGACUAAACAUGAGCUAAUUAUAAAACUAACUGCAGAACCCCUAUACUAAUUCGCGAGACGAAUCUAUUAAGCCUAAUUAAUCCAUCAUUAGCAACUGGUUACUGUAGCACUACAUUGUCAAAUCAUGGACUAAUUAGACUUAAUAGAUUCAUCUCGCGAAUUAGACUCCAUCUGUACAAUUAGAUUUGUAAUUAGACUAUAAUUAAUACUUCUAAUUAGUAUUCAACAUCCGAUGUGACAUGUCCUAAAGUUUAGGAGGUGGUACCAGUGCGCUGACACAUCAACGGUAGGGUAUAUCAUCACUUGCCUCGAGCUUUAGCUUGAUCCAUAUCUUGUUGCUAUUAGGGGGUGUUUGAUACAAGGUGCUAAAGUUUAGAAGGGCCAUAUCGGAUGUUCAGAUGCUAAUUAGCAGGAUUAAACAUGAGCUAAUUACUAAACUAAUUGCACAGAUGGAGUUUAAUUCGCGAGAUGAAUCUAUUAAGGCUAAUUAAUCCAUCAUUAGCAAAUGGUUACUGCAACACCACAUUGUCAAAUCAUGAACUAAUUAGGCUUAAUAGAUUCGUCUCGCGAAUUAGACUCCACCUGUGCAAUUAGUUUUGUAAUUAGACUAUAUUUAAUACUUCUAGUUAGUAUCCAAACAUCUGAUGUGACAGGUGUUAAAGUUUAGCAGGGUAUCCAAACACCGCCUUAGUAGGUUGCAGUUAGCAUUGCUGACUUGCUGUCUUUGCUGAAGUGUCCAUUUGUGGCAAGUAGGUGCACUAAGUGCGUGAGGCUAGGGUCACAAGUGGUCACCAAAUCUGCACUUCUGAUUUUCUAGUCAAAAUAAUAAGGGGCACUUUUUAUGGACAAGUACCUCAAGUAGGUUUACAUGAUAGUCUUUGGAUCCCAGCCCAAAUUACAGGCAAAUAUUGUCUUGCAGUGUUUGAUUUAUAAAUAUGAAAAAAAAUCCAAAUUAUCAUAGGCUUUGUUCAUAAGCUUAGAGCUUGGAGCUUUGCCGUAGAAAAGCAGCAUGAAUAACCAUUUAGAUGGAAUGCACAAGAAAAACACAUGACUUUGCAGGGGGUCCCACGUGUAUCCUGCUCAAAGCCCCUCCAAUGCUCCAGCAUCUCGGUCACCAGAACAGAGCAGUCAAACUCGGAGACGAGGACCGGUCCACACAUUCAGCACCAUCCUUCGCGCCUUCCUUCCGGCCCCAUUAAGGCUCCUUUAGCACGGCUCAUCCAUUGGCUUCUCGAGUGAUUUUUGAUGAAACCAUGCCAAACAGGCACCGUCAAAACGGCUAGCAAGCAAAAGCCAGGCGGAAGCCCCGCAAAAUGCGCUGAGUGCGUUCCUCCCCGCGCGAGAAGCUAAAAAUAGUGGCUUAUCUUGGCUUCUCCCCGUCGGAACGAGACCAAUUCCAUCGCUAACCUCGGUGCUUACCUGGUGGCGGGGUGGAGCACCGGUCCAGCGGCGGACGGAGGAGGAGAGAGGAGGGGAAAAAGAAAAGAAGGGCCUGGCGGGGUGGCGGCGGAGUGGCGGAGGAGGAGGGCCAGGGUGGUUAGGUGGUGGCGGAGGAGGAGGUCCGGUGCGGCGCCAUCGCGGCGGAUGGGCAGAGGAGGAGGUCCGGUGUAGCGCCGUGUUGGCGGAGGGAGCCGGGGUCGGCGGGGUGGCGCUGGAGGGGUGGAGGAGGAGGGUUGGGUGGAUAAGGUCGGGAGGGAGGUGCCGAUCGGAUAAGGAGAGAAGGGAGGAAAAGAAAAGAAGGGAGAAGGAAAGAGAAAUAAAAAAGAAAGAAAAAGAAAAGAAAAAUGAGGAGAAAAAAAAGAAAAGAGAAAAAAUAUAAGAGUAUUUUGGACAUUUGACACCUUCUUUCCAAUCUAAAAAGCCAGGAGAAGCUGAGCUAGAGCAAAAAAAAAUCUGUUUCAUUCCAGAUGCGCUAGAGCCAGAGCUGUUUUUUCACGAGCCAAAGUCGUGCCAAACGGACCCUAAAUCGUCAGGCUCGCCUCAUGAAUCACCUUCUCUUCUUCUCCGUGUUCUUCCCAAACCGUCUCCUUGUCGACCUCCAGCAACCCCAAGCGUCUUCCCUUGUGUCGCGAAGAUGCACGCGUGUCCUGUUCCUGCCGCUGCCCUGCUGUGCCCAGUCGUGCUACUUCUAGCUCUGCUUCCCAGUCCCGCCACCACCGCUGCCGCCCUGAACACGUCCAACCCCUGCGCGCCGGCGUUGUGCGGCGGCAUCAACAUCGCCUUCCCGUUCUGGCUCGCCGGCAAGCAUCCGCCGGAGUGCGGCUACAAGGCCUACCAGGUCACCUGCGACAAAGGCAAUCUUACUCUCAAGAACUCUUACUGGACGUACCAACUCCUGGACAUCUUCUACCAAAACAGCUCCUUCAGAGCCGACCUGUCUGGAGGCCUCUGCGACUUCAAGAAUUUCGUCAACGCCGCCUCCGACCUCGGCCUCUCGCCGUUCAAGAUUAGCCCCAAGAACCAGGAGCUGUUCUUCCUCUACGACUGCGAACUGCGGGGAAGACACGCACCUCGUUCUUGGACGCUCGUGAACUGUUCGUCGCCGGAUGACCCACCGUGGGCGUUUGCCUUGCUUGGGAAGAAUUACACGCCAGGUGGCACUGGGAUGCCACCGCCGAUGAAUUGCAACGUGUCGACGACUCCGGUGCUGGGAUACGAGGGAGCGACGGGGGCAGACUAUCAACGGCUGCUGAAGGGUGGUUCUCUGCUCGAGUACACGGAUGAUGAGCCCUGCAAGGAUUGCACGGAUACCGGCGGCCGGUGCCGGGUUAAUGUAUCCGACGAUGCGUUCGCGUGCUACUGCAACGACGGUGACGACGGCUGGUUUAUUUGCGGUGAGUAUGUUUAUGCUUAUGAUUUAGAAUUCAUUCUGCUUCUUACUGUUUCCUUCAUCUUGCGUUGCCUCCAUAUUCGACUCGAACCAACGUGCUUAAGCCUAGUAUAUUAGCACAACACAUGUCACUUGCCCAUUAUACAAUGUCAAUGGAAUGCAUUGGAUGCAUACUAGUAGCCAUCAUUCUAUCGACAUGGUAAACUCCAUUUUCAUUCUUUCUUCUCUAUUAAUACAUACCAAGCAGAGUCCUGCUCCUGCAAGCUGUUUCGGAAAAAAGAAGAAUUGGUAACAUCCAAACUAGCAAAGGUGCUAACACUAAAAAAUGUUAAAGAAAUCUUGAGAGAGAGAGAGACGACGAUUAUGCAAAUGCAUCCGCUGUGCAUCCGCUGUAAAUUAACUCCGCCGGCCGCCAUCGCAGUCGAUCUUGACCUCUGGGCUCAUCGUGUCCUUGGAACACGGACACAGAUGUGGCGUACCUUAUUUUGUAACAUAACUUAAGUACUCUCGCCUCUCCUACCCCCACAUCGCAAACAUGUCAAUUACAUGGUCGUAAAUAAUGUAAGGUAACAUAAUACAAAAUAGAAUAAGAGAUUCUGAUGGUCAAGGUGUAGCCUUAAAUACCACAAUGAGGCAAACUGCGGCAUGCGUCAAGUGUAUCAUCCACUAUCAAUGCAUCUCCUUUGUCAAUUGUCGCUUCCAGCUCUAAUAAAAAGGAAGGGCAACAUUAUACACACAAGAAUGGCAGAUCAUAGAUGUCAACUCAGCGGUGUAGCAUAUUAUUUGAAUUUUAUUUGCAAAUUCGGAACUGUCAAAUAUGUCACUCAUUCCUUCCUUUAAGCAAAAGAAUCAAUAAGUGCUAUUUGAUGCUUUUCUAAGCUAAUGCUAUUUCAGGUAGCAAAAGGAUUGGCACGAAGAUAAUAAUAAUGAUAGGUAUGCUACACUUAACAUAAUUUCAUAUCAAGCAAUUCAAAUUUCAGUACUUAUAUACUGCAACAAGUUACUUUUUUAUUUUUAGUCUUCGGAAGACCAGAGAAGAGCUAUUAUAACAUUUAUCAUAUAUGAUCCUGCAUAGAUUCUAAAAUGAAAUUUUAGAACAAGUUAUCCACAAUCUGUGUCUUCUAUUAUAAAUUAGGCAACUUUGAGCAAGAUUCACUGUCCUUAAUUAUAUAGCUUCUUAAUAUUUUCCAGCUAUGCACUUCUUCUUUUAUUUUAUUUCUAUAAAAAGAGAUAACAACGGAUUUUAAUGAUCUUGGAAAUCCGAAUGAUAAUAAUAUAGCAGCUCACCGUUUCAAGAGAAAAAUAACAUCUGCUUUAAUUUCAGUUUGGAUGACAGUAGCUGCAAGCUUGCUCCUACCAUGUAUAUAUGUGCUUGUAUGGCAUAGAAAGAGAGGAAAGCUACAUUUUUUCUUAUGUGAAAAGACUAGCAGAAGCACUCAAAGGAACAUUGAGGCCCUAAUAGUUUUGCAUGGAUCCCUAGCUCCAAAAAGAUACAAGUAUUCAGAAGUAACAAAGAUAACGUCUUCCUUUAGUAAUAAGCUUGGGGAAGGUGGUUAUGGUGCAGUUUUCAAAGGAAGGCUAGAUGAUGGUCGUCAAGUUGCUGUGAAAUUCUUGCAUGAUUCCAAAGGAGAAGGGGAGGAGUUUGUUAACGAGGUUAUGAGCAUUGGUAGGACCUCUCAUGUUAAUAUUGUUAACUUAUUUGGGUUUUGUUUGGAAGGCUCAAAGCGGGCCAUAAUAUAUGAGUACAUGCCCAAUGGUUCUUUGGAUAAGUUCAUAUACUCAGAGAAUCCUAAAGCAGUUUUAGGAUGGGAUAAGCUCUACACAAUAGCGAUUGGAAUUGCUCGAGGAUUGGAAUACUUGCAUCACAGUUGUAAUACACGCAUUAUCCAUUUUGAUAUCAAGCCUCAAAAUAUCCUUCUAGAUGAGGAUUUUCACCCAAAGGUUGCUGAUUUUGGUUUGGCCAAAUUAUGUCAUACCAAGGAGAGCAAGCUUUCUAUGGCUGGUGCUAGAGGAACAGUUGGUUUCAUCGCUCCUGAAGUGCACUCUCGAACCUUUGGAGUUGUUUCAACUAAAUCAGAUGUUUAUAGUUAUGGAAUGAUGCUAUUAGAGAUGGUUGGAGGCAGAAAAAAUGUGAAUUCAAUUGCUCAAAAGUCAAGUGAAAAGUAUUUUCCACAUUGGAUUUAUGACCAUUUUGGUCGAGGUGAUGGAUUACAAGCAUGUGAUGUCUCAAGUGAAAAUGAAGGAAUAGCCAAAAAGAUGAGUGUGAUUGGCCUGUGGUGUAUCCAAAUACUACCAAUGCAUCGCCCUACCAUAACAAAGGUUUUGGAAAUGUUUGAGCGAGCUUUAGAUGAACUGGACAUGCCACCGAGGCAAAACUUCAGCCAAAUCCUGUAAGAUAUUUAUGAUACGUUUUGCUGCAGCUACCCUGCACCAUUUACCAAUUGAUGUAGCAACAAUUCUUUUAUUGUUUUGCAGCGAAGAUCCAAAUUACAAUUUGAAUGCACAAAGCUUGAGUACAAGCAGUGGUACCAAAACACAAGUUUUUAGCGAAGUGCUAAAGAUGAAGGAGAUGAGCUUAGAGAAUUCAAAACUCUUACAGCGGUUACCAACUCUGUGACAAGGUUACCUAGCAUUGGAAUUGAGCAUUGAACUUGUGCAUGUGUAUUGGAGGGGGUAGAAAUCUUAAGUUACUCAAAUACUUGUCUCAAAACAAAAUGCUAAAUGCCUACUAUAUUAUUUUGCAGUCAAAGCCAUUAAGGCCCCAAGAGGGAAAGUUAUAUCUGCAAGUAUUCAUACGAUAUUUUUGACAUAAUCCUAACAUACUUAUAUCCUGUUAAUUAGAGCUUCUCGUUGUGCUUCACUGAUGCGCCAGCACCCCUUAUAGUCAUCCAACACCCAAACUUUACCCAAAAUCUCCUAAAUGUUAAUGACACAUCUGUACUGGAAUCAAUUAACAUUUGAAAAAUAUUCAUCAAGGCAUUACGCGUCCUAGAAAAAUCAAGACAUUCAGUUUUGAAGCUAUGACCUUAGUAGAGUCGAGCAGCAUAUAGUUGGAUCGUCCUGGAUUAAUGGCAUGCUGAAAUAUGAGGAUGGAGCUGAUGGUAGCCAUGACUGAGGUCGAAAAGGGCAUGCAUGUUGCUUGACUAUUUUUUUUUGAACGAAUGGGCACGAGGUUAUGCCUAUUUCAUUGAUAGAGAAGGAUAGUACACCCGGCUAGCUGGUUAGGAUACACAUGACUACGCAAUUACUCGCGAGAUGAAAAAACCGCUAAGUCCUUUGCGCCCGCUAUCAUCCACGCUCCGGCUUCUUCCUUGAUUUUCACGAAUAAUGCAAUGGUUGCCAUUUCCUUUUGAUUGAAUUCACACCUUUUGCUUUCCUUCCAGAUUUCCCAUAUGAUGAGCAGUGUAAUGGAGCACAUUUCCUUCCUUCCAGAUUUCCCAUAUGAUGAGCAGUGUAAUGGAGCACAUUUCCUUCCUAGGCGCUUCUGUUUUGGUAGUCAUGUUUAUCCACCAGUCCAGCGUGUUGUUGCUUUGUCGUCAUGCUGAGGGGUGUAUGCUUGGUUGUGCCGUCCAAUCCGCCACCAGGCUCCAAAUCCUUUUGGUGAAUCUGCAUUCGGCCAGUAGGUGAUGGGCUAUCUCUAUUCCGCAUCUGCAUAAAGGGCAUGAAGGAGAGUGUGGCCAUCCCCUACGCACUAGCCGAUCAGCUGACCACACUCGGUUUUGUAGUAUUAGCCAUGCAAAUAAUUUGCAUUUCGGCGGCGCCCAAUAGCGCUAGAGUGUUUUGCUAUGUGGUGUUUUGGUGGAUCCAAAAAAAUGUGCUUUGUACGCCGAGGCCGUCGAGUACUUGCCAUUCGCCAAACUUCCAGCAAAUACUGUCCUCCUGUUGUGGUUGUAAUUGGACCUCUGUAGUGAGUCACCAAAGCAUCGUAAAUUCUUGAAGGUGCAAUGGUGUAAUGCCACCGUGUAUGUUUAGGUCCCUGAUCCAGUUAUUCGCCUACAAGGCUUCUGCCACGCUUCUUUUUUCUUUUUGAGAUCGCGAAAAUGUUAGGUGCAAAGUCCUUUGGCCUACGGCCUUGCAUCUAGCCCGACUGCCAGAAGCUCGCCUUGUGGCCAUUCCCUACUGUGAUGUUCGUACAAGCCGUGAAUAGAAGUCUAUCAGUGUCAUCACAUGGUGUCUCCAUUCCGAUCCAUGUUUUUUGCUACUCCCAUUCAUGCCACAGCCAUAGUAAUCUGAGUGGUCUUGCAAACUUGCGUAGAUUAAGAACCCCCAGUCCUCCAUUUUCCUUUGGUAGACAGCUUCUAAUCCAAUUUAUACCUUGCAUUUGCCCCCAGUCAGUGCUUUGUCUCCUGCCCUCAAGAACUUUUUCCUUAUUUUGUCUAGAACGUCAAAGACUUUGUUUGACAUCUUGAGUACUGUCAAUAGGUAGAGCAGUUGUGCUGUUAGCACCGUUUUGGUGAGGCAGGUAUGCCCUACUUGGUUGAGAUUGCGGCCGAGAGCUUGCCUGCUGCUUUGUCGAUCAAAGGUUAGAAGUCAAUUUUCUUUAGUCGCCUUAUUGCGAGCGGGAGUCUGAGGUGUCUUAUCAGGAGUCCUGUUGUAGUUAUUGGGAGCCUCGAUAGGAUUUCCUCCAGGUUGACACACUCACAGCUUAUUGGAGCCACACUUGUUUUUUGAAGGUUUGUUCUCAGUUCGGUUGCCUCGCCAAAAAGGCUCAAUAGUUGUGUGGCAUUCGCAAUGUCUGCAGCUGUUGGCUUUAUGAAGCUAACUGCGUUGUCAGCAUAUAUUGAGAUACAUGCGUGUGCUACUCGCCCCUCCAGCUUGCUUAGUAGGCCUAAGUCCGUUGCUUUGUGUAUUAGCUGGUAUAGUGGGUCUAUCGCCAGGAUGAAGAGGAAAGGGGACAAUGGGUCUCCUUGUCGUAGGCCGUGUCUAUGCACAAUCGAGUCUAACAGGAUGUCGUUCAAUAGAAUUUUUGAAGUGGAUGUGGUGAGCAUUGUCGUGAUCUAGUCCCGCCAUCUUGGGGGGAAGCCUCUGUGCUAGAGUAGUGAGAGUAGGUAGUCCCAAUGCACCGAGUCGAAGGCCUUUGAGAUGUCCAGCUUCAUUAGUAAAGUAGGUGCUUUGUUCCUGUGGAAUCGAUGGCUCAUAUUCCGAACAUACAAGAAGUUGUCAUGGACACUUCUUCCUUUGAUAAAGGCACUCUAACAUGGCGAUAUUAGUGCUUCCAUAAAUGGCGCUCGACGUAGCGCAAGUAUUUUACUGAUGAUUUUGGCGAUGGCGUGUGUUAGGCUGAUUGGUCUGAAGUCUUGGAUGCUUUCGGCCCCCUCCUUCUUGGGGAGUAGUACUACUGUAAUGGCCUCGGAUAAAAAUCCUUUGCGUCAAUCUUAAUCCGAGUCCCUUAUCACCUGUCUCAGUUUUCCCAGCCUAAGUGUUCAACCUCCAGAUCUCCCGACCCCUUCGAUCCGACCCCUCGCCGUGUUUCCCGAGUUCCGACCCCGCCGACCCCCAACCCACCGUCGGAUCUUUCUAAGCCAUCCCACAGCGUCGCCCUUCAAUUCGAGCCGUGGACCUCCGAGACUGACCGGUGGACCCACGAGAUCUUUCUUCCAGAUCUCCCGCGACAGGCGCACUCGAGUUGCAUGCCCGCUUCAGAAUUCCCCAGCCGCGUGGCUCAACUCCUCCGACGCCCGCCGUUCCACCUCGUCGCCGGCCACGACCGGAUGGAUUCUCGCGCCCCCUUCCCCAAUCGCGGUAGAAGCUCCUCUGCUACCCUUUCUGCAGCACCUCGCCGCCCGCGCCCAUCAUCACAUCGCCAGAUCCCGGCUGCAGAGCCCGAUGCCGCCCGUCUUUUCCGUCACCUCUCCACAGUCGCGCCGCCCCGGUCCUCGCUACGCGACGAUUCCUCCUCCGCCAACCCAGACCGCGGCAGCGACAGCUCCUUUUCCCGCCUUGUCAGAAGCUCCUCCCCGACAAUCUGUUGCUCCGCGCUCGCCCGCGCGACCGCAGCCGCCUGUCUUCUCACCUGUGCGCCCUCGUUUCUAGCGUCGUUUUCCCAGUCACUUCCAUCAGAUCCACCGCAUGACGACGCCCACCUCUGCCAAAUCUCAACCACCGGCAAACCCGCGCCUACGCCGCCCUGACGUCAGUGCCCAAUAACCGCCGGUGUCAUCCCCGAUUCCUGCUCCACCGCCCUCGUCGCUCAAUCGUCGCCCCAGCAGGGCACUCCAUCGCUUCUUCCCCGGCCUUUGCGCCGCUUCCCCCUUCCCUCUUCCGCGCAGCUAUAAAAUGGAAUGCCGGAGCCCCGCCGGAGUUCCCCUUUGCCAUCGCUGCCCUCUCUCUUACUCCCUGUUCGUGCUCACAGCGCCACCACCUAAGUCUGAGGAACUCUCCUCUCCGCGCAAACACCACCUUCCCCGAAUCCACCAGCCACUGCUUUCAGUGCUGCCCCAGAGCUUGCUUGUGAUCCACAAGAAGCACCGCCGCCGCCGGAAUACCGCCGGACAUCCUCGCCGCUGUCCCAAGCCCCUUAGUCCUUCCGCCCAAGCCUCCUCUGUAAGAUGAAGGUAAGCUGCCGACCCUUUUGUCCGUCUCGCCCGACCCCCCCCCUAUCCGCCCGACCCCGGUUCCGUCUCGCCCGACCCUGUCUGUUCCGCCGACCCUUCUCCACCUCGCCCGAGGGCUCGGCUGUAUCUUUUUCCUUGAACCGAGGGUAUAUGUGUAAAACUUGGGGACUUUUCAGCGUUAAGUCUGAGGAUCCCUAGCACAUCUAUUCCUCUAGAUUAAGGGUCUGAUCAUAAGUUCCUUCCCAUCCGACCCUCAUAUCUUGAUCUCCAUCAACUCAAGCGAACCUCCCCACCCUCCUGUAACUUGCCGCAAAUUUCUGGGCUCAAACUUGCAAGUGUUGCUGUUGAAAUAACCGUCUAAAUGCUAACCAAUGCAUUGCAUUCGUGUAGAGCUGCGUCUCGCCGACGGCUUCUACGAGUUGCACCCGACGCCAGAAGAAGAAGGUGUAGCCGAGCUCCUGCCUCCAGAAGCCGAAGCUGCCCAAGCAGACGAGCAGUUUCCCUCCUCCUUGCUCGAAGGCAAGCCCUGGAUGCAUGAAUUUCCCUAUGUUUUUUACCAAACUUGCGCAUGCCUUCUUUAUCAUGCUUGUGCAUUUACGUAUAGGAGUUGUUUGGAACCAUAGAUGCAUAACUUAGCUUCCUUGAUCUGAACACUAGCUGUUGGACCGGGUAGAUGCUUUGCUUAAAUAGGAAACGGUAAAAGCCGAGUGAUUUCCUAUCACUCGCGAGUUGUAGGAGUUGGUUGUUUCCCCUUCUGUUACAACUAUAAGGAUGAUGGACGGGGCAGGGUUUUGGGUAACUUUUUGGUGGUCGGUUGAUCGCCCCGUAUGUCUAUGAAACUUGCUAAGGCCCGACAGUGGUGGUGUUUGUGAUCAAGUGUUUGAAAGUACUAAUCUCAUACCUAGUAUGGGAUGGGGAAGCCUAGUACCUGAUUGAACUAGAGCGUGGCUUAUACCCCUGUUGUCCCUGGAAUAAGGUUCCCAUGGUGCAUCAUGUGGGUGCAAGUGUGGUCACAGUACGGUAGAGGCCGGGACUGUGGAGCAUUGCAUGCCAAGGGAAGUUUGGACCUGACACGCGCCUGGGAAUUGAUGGGGACGGCCGACACAGGAAGCGACCCUUGUGGUGCGCGGAUAUCGUGAGAUUAGGUUCGCCAUGCAUGGUUAAGAAACUCGAAAUCGAUUCGUCUGCCUCUCACAGUUUGAGAUUGCUUGAUCGCUAUGUCAUCCCGAGUAAUAAAGGAAUCUGAUGAUGACAUGGUUUGUGAUGAUAUGUAUAUAUACCCUUGGUUGGUUCUAUGGUUGCUUAGAAUAAGUUGCUAACUUAGACUGGAUAAUGAACUUAGAACCUGAGCUAAAACUUUGAAAGUAGGGAUACACCUAGUGCUUUUGGCAAAGCAAACCCCUCAGCCAAAAAGCUUUGCAUGUCUAGAAGAAGUGGGGUAGCGUACUCCCUGUCGGUUAAGUCUUGUUGAGCUUAGUAGCCCAGCCUUGUUGUGGCUCUUCUUUUCAGGUGAAGUUGCUGCCUCUGAGCCUCCCUCUGCUGGCACUUGGCCGCCCCAACUCCCUCCGGGUUGGACGGUUGAGUGGGAUCCCUCCUUGGACGGCGAGGAGAGGGAUCACUGAUGUCCCGGUGGGCCUCACCAGGGAUGUCCGACCCCGACGAGUUAGCUUCCGCUAGUUGUUACCUUCUGUUGUUUCUCUUCUGAACUUGUAAACUCUGAUGUUGUUUUAUGGCCAAACUAAAUGGUUAAUUUGAUAACUCGGUGGACUUGUUGUAUUCUCUGGAACCGCUCACCUUCGUGUGGGUUUGCUAUUCGGUCCUAUUCAAGUGGUUAAAUCGGAUGAACUCCAACGGCACUUCAUGUUUACUCGGUUUAGGCGUGAGCGUCGCGUAUCAUGCGGCUUAAUCAUGUUUAACCAAGUAAAUUCGAAGUGGAUCCGCCACAACUACAUUAGCUAUGUUGAGGAGGUUGAGGUCUUUGCAACGAAUGUUGUGGAAGGCAUUAACGGCCAUUGUGACAUCACCUUUGAUUAUGUGCCAACACGAUUUGAAGAAAAGGCCGGUGAAGCUGUCCGGUCCUGGCACCUUGUUCUUUGGAAGCUCUAUGAUUGCAUGAAGUAUUUCUUCCUCUGAAAAGGGGCUAUCAAGCGCGCGUAGAUCCACCGCUGGAAAGUCCAUAAUCUCCCAGUUUAGGUCUCUAGUGCGAUGCUGCGGCAAGCACAUCAUGUUCUUAAAGUGGUCUUGAAUUACCCUUUGCUUGUCUUGGUGGGUUAUUGCCCAGCCACAUUCCUUCUUUAACCUCUGGAUGAAGUUUUUCCUUCUUCUAGCGUUCGCCUUUAGAUGGAAGAACUUUGUAUUUGCGUCUCCCUCGCAUAUGUAGGUGAUUCUGGAGCAUUAUUUUUUUCUUGUUUUUUCAAUAGCCGCCCUCCCAAAAGCCUCCUUUUUAGCUUAUGACGCAAGGAGUAUUCUGCGUUAGAUAGCGCUCUGGUCUCUUCAGCCGUGUCAAGGUGUACAAUGACCUCUUGGGCCAUGUGUAGCUUUAGUUUGGCAUCUGAAAUGAAUGACCUACUCCAUGCUUGAAGCGCGCGGGCAGUGGCAUGCAGCUUGUGCCCCAAUAUGUAAAAAGGCUCUGUGUGACUCAUCAGCUUGGACCAUUCUCGGGUGACUACUUCAUGGAAGCCAGGUAGGCACGUCCAGAAAUUUUCAAAUUUAAAAGGUGUCGGGCAUCUGGGCCCAGAUUGUUGCGCCAAUAGUAGCGGGCAGUGUUAGAGUGUGAGGAGGAAAGUGCAUGUAGGACAUGGUCAUUGAAGUAUAGAUCCCAGCUCUCAUUGCAGAAAACUUGGUCGAGCCAUAUUAAUGUUGGUCAACGCCUAGUGUUACUCCAGAUGUUGUGCAAAUGUAUUUCUUUUAGAUCGCAGUAAUUUAGUGCAGCUCUGAAAUGCCUCCUCAAUCGCCGAUUAAGAUUUCUAUUAUUCUUAUCUCUCGCCCUGUAAAUGAGGUCGAAAUGCCUAGGAUGAGCCAUCGCGUGUCGUCGGCCGGUCUCAUAGCACGUAGGUGUCGUAGGAAUGCAGGUUUUGCAACACGUCGUGACGGGCCAUACACUGUCGUUAGCUGGAAGGAUGAUGUGCUAUGCUUCACUACUGUUGUUGCCGAAAUGGAGAAUUGGCCAAUUUGAACAUCCUCUAUGUUGAUCACCCCGUUGUCCCAGAGGAUGAGGAUUCCUCCCUUUGUGCCUAGAGCUGGUUUGUAGGCAAAUUUGUUCAGGCCAUGCCCCCCAAGAAGGCAACUAGAUCCCCGUCGAUGUUUUGUAGUUUCAUUUCUUGCAAUGUGACAUGUUGUCAUUGCAAUUGUUUCACAAACCAUUAGACAUCUAGCCGGAGCAUUGAGACCUCGCACAUUCCACCACAUUACCUCAAAGUUGCCAAUCAUCUGGGAGUUGCUUUGUUCGCUGGCUUAAGUGUCACGAAUAGGCAAACAAAACAGUGCAGCGUGAGUUCAACUUGGAGAUCGCCUGAAGGUCAUGGCCAGCAGGGUGGAGUUUGUAGGUCAUGAAUUUUGCCUGAAGGUCGAUGCCAGCAGGGCUAGUCAAAUGUCCUCUCCGAAGGUCGCACCCAGCAGGGUGAGGAACUGAUGAUACAAUGCAAUAACGAUACAUUGCGUGCUAUUGACAUGCGUAGGUAGUGCGCCUUGUUUGGAUCAUCAUGGCACCACGUUCUACUUCUGCUGUAGGUCUUGUACCGGGUCGCCCACCAUCUGGAGAAGCGCUUCGUUCAUCUGGUCUGCUGCGUCAUCGUCGAGGUCGAAGAGAGCGGUCAUGGCUGCUAUGACGAACUCUGGAAGGCUCCCCUGGAACAUGCUGAUGAAGUCUUGGAGAACCUGCUCAAUUGGCGCCAAUUCGUCAUCACUGACGCUAAGCUUCCUCCUUAGGUUCCACUAUGCUCGCUCCAUAGUCGGCAUCGUCGGCUUCCUAGCUAGUCGCGCGCUUCGCCGCACCUCGUUCAUGUCAAAGGUGCAGUGCUAGCACGUGCGUCGCACUAGCUGUUGUUGUAGCGCCGGUGGUGCAGGGUUGCGAAAAGGUUCUGGACGUGCGGUGUCUGCGAGCAGCCGUUGACGGCCGGUGCUGGCUCACUAGCCGGAGGCACCAGGUGAUUGUCAUCUUCUACGCUUGCAGUUUCCCCACAUGGGACAGGCCAAGCAGCAUUUGCAGGCUUGUUGGGAGGCCCACUUGCCACGUUCACUGUAGGCAGGUUGGGAGGCCCGUUUAUGACAGCCUGCGUUUGGCCUGUUGCGACCUUUUGUGCCGAAGCUUUGUGGGCCUAUUGGCCCAACAUAUGGGCCUUCUUCGAGUAGGCCGCUUCCGUCAGGGCCUCCUAGCCCAGCCUUUCCGCUGUGUUCGAAGCUGUGUGGGCCUGUUGGCCUAACAUCUAUGCCUUCUUUGAGCCAGCCGCUUCCGCCAGGGCCUCCUGCCCCAGCCUUUCCGCCGUGGCCAUAGCAGAAGCAACCACCGGAGCCUCCUCUCUCGGUGUUGCAGCCGCAGCCACUGUGACGGCGGCCACCGCGACAUCGUCUCCCGGCCUCGCAGGCAUGGCCAUCGCAGCAAUGGUUGCCGAGCACUCCGCUCCUGGCGUCAUGGCCACGGCCAUAGUCGCCGCUGCCGAAGUUGUGAUCUCUAGGCAACGAAGAGCACGUUCGACAUCAGCGGUUGUUGGUGCCAUUACCAUAUUAAUUCUAUCAAAAACUCGGUUAGUAGAGAUUAGUGACUCACUAUGGACAGACCAGGUUCCAUUCCCGGUGAUGAGGUUCCAGCGUGCCGUGGCAGGGGCGUCGUCGAUGCCAAGCCGGUAAGCGAGGCGGCAUGCCUUGUCGAUGUAGCCCGCAGCAUCAUGAAGCCACACCUUCGCUAUGUCACCGAGACGUGCCUGCAUCCCUUUCUUGAGCGCCGAGGCCUGCGCACAAAAUAGAGCUUGCACUGUCGUAGGCUCCAUGGCUCUGAGCUCCUCCACAUUCGGCAAGGCAGGUGAGUUUGCAGAUGCGCAGCUCCCUCACUCCUGCGACGUCCACCAUGGAAUGCUCCGUCCCGGCGGCGUGGUGACCAUGUCGGCUCCCGCGCGCACGACAUCGUGCCGUUCGGGGUUGCGGUGAGUGCCACUAACCCCCCGGCCGGGGUGCGUGUAGUCGUCGCCGCUGCCGUCGUCGUCGUUGUCAUUGCGCUGAGGCUAAGUGAAUCCCCCUUCCUUGCAGGUGCGCCCAUCAGCGCGGCGCCUGCCGUCCCCACGCUUGUAGUCGCGCCUUCUGUCGCGCCUCUGCUUGCCAGCCGCUCACCUUUUGUCAUGCGGGUGCUCCUGGUCGCGGCCAUCGUGCUCGCGGGGUGGCUGAGAAAGGCGCACCGAGAACCUUGACCUUGUCUCCACUAGAGCUCCAUCCAUGAUGCCGUAGCGCCAAACGUAGGGACGUCAGAUCGGAGCGAAGGCGGCAGGGUUUGCCACCACGCCUAGCAGGUCAUGGGCUGCUGCCAAGUAGUCCUCAACGAGGCCAAUGUGAAGGAAAACCUCGUAGCGAAUUCCUUGCUGCUAGCGUUCCAGCAGCUCCUGUGACGCAGCUCCUGUGUGAUGAAGACCGUUGCCGUGGAUUUGUCGGAUGGCUUGUGGGUGAAGACUAGCCACAAGCGCUUGGGGAUCUGGCUCGGAUUGGCAAUCCACGCGUACAGGUCAAUAUGCCUCGUGUCCGUCGGUUGGACGAGGUCGGUGUUGAUGCACUGUAGGGCGCAUUUGCUACCAAUGACGCGUUCGACGAUGUCCGGCGUCCAAGCAUGGCUAGGGAUACCAUCAAAGUAGACCCUGUCGCAGUAGAAGAUCCACAUGCCCAGCGCGUGCGUGAGGCUGCGCCAGCGCUGCAGGCAAAUGUUGAUGUCAUUGCCCUAGAAUCUACCUUGUCGCCUUGCCUCAUCGCACUUGUCGUUGUGCUCGAACCGGAUUAGGAAUGGCUCCGGUUGGUUGCUGGUGAUGGUGAUGGUGCCACGGCGCAGCUGCAGCUUGUUGAGCAGGAGGGUUUCAAUGUCCUGAGCCCCAGCGCACCGUGGCAGGUGGAUUGCCCACGAGACCAGUGUGCAUCCCUCCAAGCCACGGGCAUCCUGUUCGAGGUUGAAGGAGUUGGGGAUGAAGACCGUCCCACAUCAGGACGUGUGUAGGGUCUCCAAUCGCCAUCGGCUUGACGCCCGGGUGCAGCGACAGUGGCGGCGGUGGAUGAGGCGUAGGAUAUGACGGUUGAGGCAGCGGGGGCAGAGGAGUUGGUGGCGGUGGAUGAGUUGUGGCCCGGCGCACUGGGGAGUUGAUUUGCUGGUGUCAGUGGUCCGGAGUCGGGGUUGGGCGUUGCUGACGGCGGGCAUGACAGUGGCAUUCCCGGUACCCCGACCGGCGACAGCAGAAGCACCAAACUGGGUCUCUGCAAGCAGACGCGCGAUGGUCCCAGGCGAGGCAGUUGAAGCACCUCCCCGCGGUGGCCAGAUUGAAGGCUUGGAGAGUUGCGGUUGGCCGGCACCUUGAAGAUGGCCUUGAAGAGGGGUCUUGUCGGCCGUCGCGCUGGCGUGGGCUGGCACGCUCAAGACGCAUUGAAUGUCGUCUGUGGCCUCGUACCACUAUCCAGCCCGACUCCAUGCCAUGUCUUGUACUGCCUCCUGCUCGAGCAGUCUCCUCGGCUCCGGUGGAUUUGGGCCUUGUUUACUUCCCAAGUUGGGAGUUGCAAAAUUGGCAUUUUGCUAUAAAUGCGACACUGUAGCGUUUCGUUUGUAUUUGUGAAUUAUUGUCCAAAUAUUGACUAAUUAGGCUCAAAAGAUUCGUCUCGCAAAGUACAACAAAACUGUGCAAUUAGUUUUUGAUUUCGUCUACAUUUAGUACUCCAUGCAUGUACCGCAAAUUUGAUGUGAUGGGGAAUCUUCUUUUUGUAUAGUGUUAAAGUUGGGAGUUUGGAGGGAAGUAAACAAGGGCUUAGAUGUGGGGACGGCGUGGUGGAGUAAAGGCUGUAGCAGGGAGAUCCUGGUGCGCAGGUGAGCGGCGAGCUAGCGGAUCUUGGGCAGGCGGUGGAGUAAAUGCUGUUGACGGGGGGCCUGACCUGCCGCGGCGGACGGCUUCCGCGUAGGUGGAAAGGGGUUUUGGCGUGGCCAGCACCGGAUCCAGUUGGGGGGAGCACGGAUCCGGCGUGGGUGGCACCCAAUCGACCUCGUCGGUCAGCGGGCAACCAUGGCGUGGCGGCAGAGGUGGGGAAUCGAGGAAGAAGCUCUCCCACGGGCUUUGCUGCGCCAGGGUGGAGGACGCGUGGAUCUGCUUUGGUGCAGUUUGGUGUUGUGGCUGGCGGCUCAGGAUCUUUGGUGGGGUGGGCGGGUUGGGCUCCGCCGUCCGCCGGCGGCGAGGGGACGACGACGGGAGGGGUAGCGGGUUGGGGGCGCACAUUUGUCUCUGCAGGAUACCGGUCGGGGGCGCACAUCCUGUCAAACGCCUUGCAUUGCUGCUUGCUUGACUAUUUGAGUUAGGUUCCAAAUACCGGUGCAUCAAUUUUAAUUUUUUCUGAGUAAUUAUUCAGGUUCCUACCAGAAGUUAACCUUUAAGGUUGACAGUUGAUACCCACAUCUAACUGAACCAAAAAAAAUCUACUUAAUCCAAAUGCACAUGAUCUCAUUGCAAAAUCGGAGUACGUUUCUCAAACAGUAUAAGCACCAAAUCAAAUUGAUGUACGCAUCUGAGUAUCUGACUCAACUUAAAAAUCACAUCUGUGAGUAAAUACACGGAAGAACGGAGCAGUCGAAGUGCAUGAUACUUACAUGGUUCCUUAAUACCUGAUGCUUCUCCGAUUCUCCCAAAGCAACAAGGCUAGAGCAGGCGGGCGUACCCAAGGAACUACCCAAUAGUGGCGCGAGAUUGGAUCCUGCAGUCCUCUCCAUCUGCAGCCCCAAUCACCGGCACCGAGUCGGCGAUGCGGCAAGGCGUAGACUGGGGAGAUUUCCUCAUGGGAUAGUACCAGCUGCGAGUGCGCCGUAGGAGAUGGCCGAGAAUGCAGUGGCUGGGGAUGGUUCUGUUCACCGCCGCGCAUCUCGACGGACGACGGCGAGACGGGUAGACGACGCCGGCGCAGGGCGGAUCUCCAUGGACUAGGCCACCAUGCUCUACGCAGCCGAGCCCAUUCAGUGGUGAGGGCCCAUCAUCAAAAGUUGGACCGUGAUGCGUCCUGGGUCCAUCCAUAUGCCCGCCGUGCCGUAAACUUGUGCCGGUCUGAGCCAGACAUCUUCCAUCCCGUUGCUUUGCCUUCGAUGGCUCAAUAUACAAUCUGUCACAAUUCAGUCCAAAAAAAAAGAAAAAGAAAGAAAAGAACACAAUUUGUCAGAGAAAUUCCACACUCUUAUUGUAAAACUUGGUGCUGCAUUGUAAUUAUCCGCGCUCUGCAGAUUCCGAUAGACGUCACGUCACUACUUGAGAAGGUUGGUAAGGUGUUUUUUUUCCGCGAUCAUACCUUAGCACGUAUUUCAUUAAGAGAAGAAGAAAAGUUUGGUUACAAGAACUUGCAGCGUCAUCUGAGAUUGAUGACCUGCUAGCGCAUACAAGAAUUAAGAAGAAAUUACAUUUGCACCUUGCUGCGACCCUACUAACAGGUUACCAGGUAUGAUGUUGGGGUGGGCGGCUGCUGUAAAUGGCGCCAGGCAAUGAAAUCCUGCCAAAAUGGACAGCAUCCCCGUCGUCAUCUGAGCAUGAUUGAAAGUUCUUUCAUUUCUUUCCAACCAAAUGGACCAACCCACCAGGAUAAUGAGAGAGUCUAAUGUUUUCCUGGCUGACCUAUCCACACGUUUUCUCACUACUAGCCACCAGUCAGGAAAGGAGGACUCAGAAACAGAGGGUGCUAAGUGCUGCCAAUUCAGUUCCGAUAGAAUAAGAUGCCACAACUCCCUUGCAUAGACACACCUAACUAGCAGAUGGUUUAUGGUUUCAGACUCCUGGGUACAAAGAAUGCAAGUGUCGUCAUUUUAAAGAUUAUGUUUCUUGCGUCUAGAGGCUGUCCAGCAGCGUCCAUUGAUAGCAAGCCAUAUGAAGAAUUUGCAUUUAGGGGGUGCUCGGGUCUUACACAAAGCCUUUGCCCCAUGUAUUUCAUACUGUCCAAUGAAGAAUGCAUUGUAGGCCGAUGCCGUUGAGAAGUUCCUGUCUUGAGUCCAUUUUCACAAUACCUUGUCAAGUGUAUCCUCCUGUAAUGUGAUCUGUUGUAACUUGGUCCAAAUGCUUAUGUAUUCAAGAAGAACUCGAACAAUCAAUGCUCCAGUAAUGUCCCUGACCCAUUUUCCAUCUUGCAAUCCUUCACUUACUGUCCUUUUUUUUGCGAGCUCUAGGACCAAUCGCCUGAAGGAGACAUGGAGCAAUCUCUGCAAUCGAGCGACCGUCAAUCCAUCUAUCCUCCCAUAAAAGGAUGUUCUUGCCGUCGCCUACUUGAGUUGAGGUGGAGUAGUAGAACAAUUGGGCGACCUGCUGUUCAAUUGAAUCAGGUAAGUUAUGCUAUGAACGUGAAGUGUCAAUUUUCUUAAGCCAGAACCACCGCAUUCUUAGAGCAUAUCCCAUGAGGCGUAGGUCCGUAAUUCCUAGACCUCCCAAAAUAGAAGGUCGACAGCAUUUCGUCCAUGCAAGGAGACAAUGACCGCCAGAAAUCAUUUCUGUACCUUUCCAUAGAAAGGCCUUCCUGCGCUUGUCUAUUUGCUUGAUUGCCCAUGAAGAGAUGGCGACCGCGAUAGCCGUGUGAAUUGGAAUGGCUGACAUUUUUACCUUAACUAAGACUGUGCGUCCUGCCCUGCUCAUUAGCUUCGCCUUCCAUGUGGGCAAUCCAUCACAAACCUUAUCCACCAACUGCAUCAGGUCAUUCCUGCGAAGCUUUUUGACUGACAGCGGUAUUCCCAAGUACUUGCAUGGUAGGGGUUCGAGAUGACCGGGGAAGAAUUUGAGCAGCCUGAUUAUCUGUUCCAGGUCGCAUUGUAUGGGAGAGACAAGGCAUUUGUCUAGGUUUGUUUUAAGACCGGAUGCAGCUCCAAAGGUUGGUAAGGUGUUGGUUUCAGAAAACUGGUGCAUACGGUGCUAGUCCUCUCCUGUGAUUGCACUCAGCUCGUCCUCCGAUUCUGAUGGCUCUUGGAGUGGUCGACGUCGACGGUGUUGUUGCCCCAGACCGUCUCCACGGGCCUCCCGGCCGCCGCCGAUCUCCCAGACCAUGUUGAUUUUGUAACUGCACCAAACCGCACCGAUCAGCUUUAUUUAUACACUGAUUUAUAACUGAAGGCUUCCUCUGAGAAAUCAAGGGAGUGGUAUGGAUUUGCGAAAUGGGACUCAUCCAUCGGACUGGGACUGCACAAGUUUGCAUUUAGAAGAGGGAUCAGGGAUGGAUGCAUAUAUAUAAUCUUUUUUCCCUAGUACAAUAGUCAGCAACAUGAGUGGAUGCUCAUAGCAGGAUUUGGCAUGUCCAUCUGCUAGUUGCAUGGCUUAUAAAUCCACUGCAUCUUGGCAGCACAUUGGCGUUGCUUUAGUCCUGCCCCUAUCGAUCCUUCGUAGGUCCCUUGCAUUUGUUUUCUUGCAUUGUAUUAGUAUAAAAAAAACAAGUUCUGGUUCUGCUCGUGCAACAAAUAGUCAUAGAGAUACUUUGACGUGGAAUAGUCAGAUUAGACUGACCAACCAGCAGUGUUGGAGGAGACUAGACUUGGACCUACUCCCGGCUCCCACACGGCCACGGAAAUUGAAUUAAGUUUCUGUCAGUUCAGCUCAGAAGACUAACCUGUCAAACUUCGCCUACAACAGUUGCAUUCGUCGAACCAUCAUCAUUCGCUGACUUACCACUUUCAUAACUUUCUCAGGGAAAAAUAAAACCAGCCACCAACAUGGUCUGGUGAUUGCCGGCUUCUCCUCUGCGGCACCUUGUUAGCACACUUGCAGUCCCUCCUAUCGCGUUGCAAAGAUGCAACCGUCCCUUGCUCCUGCAGCCGCCGUGCUACUGCUCGCUCUGCUAACCAGUCACACCGCCACUGCUGCCGUAAACACGUCGACGCCGUGCGCGACAGCCUCGUGCGGGAACCACACCGUCGACCUGAACACGUCGACGCCGUUUGCGCCGGCGCUGUGCGGGAACCUCACCAUCGCCUACCCGUUCUGGCUCGCCGGCACGCAUCCGCCGGAGUGCGGCUACAUACAAGGCCUUCCAGGUUACGUGCGACAAGCAUGGCAACCUUUCCAUGACGACGAACUCUCGUAGAAAUAUGAGAGAAGUUGGAUUACAAUGCGACCGUGUCCUCGUAUUUAUUUAUAGGGGAGCGAGCACCUUACAUAAUUACAACACCCAGUUCUAUUUAUAGAGGAGCUCGAAGAGCACUGAACCGUCAAAUAUUUCACUCAUUCAUUCCUUUUAGCAAAAGAAUCAAUUAGUGCUAUUUAUGGAUUUUCUAAAUUAAUAUUCUAUAUGGUAUUUCAGGUGGCCAUAAUGGCAGGAUUACAAUACUGAUAGGUAUAUGCCACAAUUCGACAUAAUUUCAUAUCAAGUAAUGCAAAUUUCAGUACUUAUUUAUUGAACAAGUUACUUUUUAGUUCUAGUCUUUGGAAGACCAUAGAAGAGCUAUUAUAACGUUAUCAUAUAUGUUUGUGCAUAGACUCUAAAAUGAAAUUUUAGAACAAGUUAUCCUCAAGCAGUGUCUUCUAUUAUAAAUUAAACAAUUUGGAGCAAGAUCCGUUGUCUUUAAUUAUAUAGUUUUUUCCUAUUUUCCCACUAAGCACUUCUUCUUUUAUUUUAUUUCCAUAAAAAGCGACAGAAACGAAUUAUUUCUGAUCUUGAAAAUCUGAACAAUAAUAAUAUAACUCACUGCUUCAAGAGAAAAAUAACAUCCGCUUUAAUUUCAGUUUUGAUGACAGUUGCUACAGGCUUGGUCCUACCAUGUGUAUAUGUGCAAGCUUUGCCUCCCCUUGCACACAUCCCCAUUCCCCAAUCCCCUCCAUUCCGCAGCCUCCUAGCUCCUAUACUGAUCGAAAAACAAGCUUGAUGCAUCCGGCCCUGGUCCUCUUCCCGCUGGCCGCCUCCUUGCUCCUCCUCCAAGACCAUGCAAGCGCCGACUGCGAGCCGGCGACAUGCGGGAACCUCACUCUCAGAUACCCAUUCUGGUUGGGCAGCGGCAACCAGACCUCAUCACCCUGCGGCCACCCGUCCUUCGAGAUCCGGUGCAGCGACGACCGCCGCCGGAGCGUAGCCUCACUGAAGGGCUCCUCCAUCCACGUCCUCUCCAUCGAUUACGCCAACUACUCCUUCGUCGCCUCCCACACCAGGGUCGCCGCCGCCGACGGCGUGUGCCGCACCGACUUCAACAUGUCGGUCAGCAUCGCGAUCAGCCAGUUCACCAUUAGCCCCCGGAACCGCGCCCUGUGCUUCCUCUACAACUGCACCGGCGGCGCGGCCCCGAUCGGGCCCGACGAGUACGUGAACGCCACCUCCAGCUGCCGUGCCCCCAUCUACGCGUACCUCGGCGGGGCCUACUACUGGGACAAGCCGCCGGCGAUCGCGACGGACGGGUGCACGUACACGUACUUCCCAGUGCUGGGGCGGGAGCCGGAGACCAUGACGGCGGCCAACUACAGCCAGCUCCUGAAGGACGGAUUCGUCCUGGAGUGGGAGGCGGCAGGGAUCGGGAUCGGCGACUGCGCCGCCUCCGCCUGCAACGCGAGGGGCGGGAAGUGCCGGUACGACAACGCCACCGCGGCGUUCCAAUGCCUCUGCCCCGACGGCUGGCGCGCGGCGGGGUCGACAUGCUCCGGUGAGUUGUCACUCUCCCACUUCCCUCCGUACACGUACAGUAGUCAGCGUGUGUGGACGCCGGCGGGCGACCCGGCGCAUGCCGCUUUCAGCUGCAAGACUUUCUUGGUCCAUUGCAUCAUGCGGAUUGCGGCGUGGCGAAGGCGCAGCGGCGCUGGCGCAUGCAUCGGCGUCGCGGUAGUGCUGCCCAUGGGGUUGGAUCCUCGUAGGCCCCAUGGAGAUUUUGCACGCAGCUCUCGCUCUCAGUAACCUUGGCUAGUUUCCCUCGAUCCACCGGUAGAAUGGCCCGCGGCAGCUGGAGUGAUGGCUAUCUUAAGACUGUGUGGCGCGCGGACUGGCCACGCCGCAAUCCCUGGUAAACGCGUGUGCGGUCAAUGUCGUCUUCCCUGCCGGGUGCUCGCCGCGGCGCGGAGCAACAGGGGAGGGGGCCUGCCGCUGCCGGGCGUCGUUUUCGCCUGCCAUUAGCUUCUCCACGUGCUCUUUCGCGCAUGAUCGUUCCCGUUGGUGCGCUGACACAUCAACGGUAGGGUAUAUCAUCACUUGCCUCAAGCUUCAGCUUGAUCCAUAUCUUAUUGCUAUUAGUAGGUUGCCGUUAGCAUUGCUGACUUGCUGUCUUUGCUGAAGUGUCCAUUUGUGGCAAGUGGGUGCACUAAGUGCGUAAGGCUAGGGUCACAAGUGGCCACCAAAUCUGCACUUCUGAUUUUCUAGUCAAAAUAAUAAGGGGCACUUUUUAUGGACAAGUAUCUCAAGUAGGUUUACAUGAUAGUCUUUGGAUCCCAGUCCAAAUUACAGGCAAAUAUUGUCUUGCAGUGUUUGAUUUAUAAAUAUGAACAAAAAAAUCCAAAUUGCCAUAGGCUUUGUUCAUAAGCUUAGAGCUUGGAGCUUUGCCGUAAAAAAGCAGCAUGAAUAACCAUUUAGAUGGAAUGCAUAAGAAAAACACAUGACUUUGAGACGAGAGAAGAAAUCAAAAUUUUAGUGUGACAUUGAGCCUCAUGGUAGAAUCCCUUCAAAAUUCCAAUGGAAUACAACAAUUUAUAAGAAAAUUCUAGGAUACAUAGGAGCCCGUUAUUUGGUUACACAUAUUACCAUGAUGUCAACAGAAUUUGUAUAUAUCAAUUUGAUCUUGACCUAAAACUUUAAAUUGAAUGAAAGAAUUCAUAUGUUUCAAUUGUAAAGAUACAUGACUUCUGACUAGUAAAAACAGCUUUCAACUAUCAAAUACCAACUUUCAGUGGAACCUUGAUUGGAAAUUCCAAUCAAAGAAUUCAGAUUUUGACUUCCAAUAUUCAUACAUUCAAACAAGCCAAAAUAUGCUUUGAGUCUUGACCCUGACUUCAAACUAUCAAAUUCUUACUUUAAAGUGUUUGAUUCGACAAUUGGCAUGAAGGAUAUACUACUAUCAAAAAGGGGAAAGGGAAUUCAACUCAAAGAGAAAGCUUUUGAUACAAAAUGUUAUAAUCUUUUCACCUAACAUAUAGGGCAGGGGGCCCACUAUGGUUAUCUUUACAAAAAAGUUAUACUACUUUACUGUUACGUGUGCAGCUAUAUAUACUCUUUUCUCUCACCAAAACUUAAAAUGAACUGACGUAUACCUCGACCUUGACCUCAACUUUUAGGAAGAGAAUUCAAAUGUUUGAACUAGGGUGAUCGAUGACUUCCAACUAGACAAAAAUAACUUUCAACUAGCAUGCCAACUUUCAAUGGAGCCUUGAAUGGAACUUUCAAUCAUAGAACUCAGAUUUUGACCCUUCCACUUAAUUUCAUCAAUUGAAACUAGCAAAAGUAUGCUUUAAAUUAUCCGCAUCUAAAACAAUAUUUCAAGUUCUAACUUUAAAGUGUUUGACUCAACAAUUUCCAAGCACAAUACUAUCAAAAAGAGAAAAGGGGAUCCAACUCAAAGAAGGAAAAAACAUCGUACUUGAUAUAAAAAGAUAUACCAAAAAUGCUUGGUCUUUUUACGUACUUCCUCCGUUUCAAAAUGUAGGUCGUUUUGAUUUUUUGAGAUUUAUAGAUUUUGUUAUGUAUCUAGACAUAAUGUAUAAUGUAUAUCUAGAUGCAUAUCAAAAUCUAUGAAUCUAGAAAAGUCAAAACGAUCUACAAUUUGAAAUGGAGGGAGUAACUAAAGGCACAACCCCACUAGAGGUCUUUCUCCGUAGAGUAUGGCAUCCAAUCAAUUCAUCAAUCAAGCCCACCAGUACCAUACGCCAUCUUGUUUCUCACCUCGAACCGGUCCUCUUCCCCAUCUCCGAUUAUUUCUCUAUGGUGCCUUCACCUCUCCUCCAUCAUUCUCCUUUCUAGCAGCUCAUUCGCCGGAUCUACCCCAGCUACCACCCGAACCCUACGGAUAGCAAUUCCCCUAGCCACAUCAGCAAUUCGUCUACGUGGUAGUGUAUUUAUUGCUAUGGAAACUAUCCUCGUCACUGCGUUGGGACUGCCCUGAUACGUGAGAUGAGUUUCAUGAGACGCGCAGUUAUCUAGUUCUCAAUCUUAAUAAUUAUGUAAUAAAACUGUACACUGAGACUGGCCUUAAAAGAAGACUUGAGACUUGGGUCUUGGGUCAGUGGUGAGUGAGUGGUGACUUCAGCGCAUCUUUCCCAUGCACGGCAACCACAAGACUACCUGCAUGAAAGGUAAAAGUACAAUGCACCGGCAAUUUUCGAUCUCGUACUUCUGCGCAAGUAAACUGUUCAACUCUUCCACCAAAAUCUGCCUCGCCAUGCAUCACUCCUCCACAUCACCAUAGAUUCCUGCUACAGCUAUCAUUUUAUCUGUUGCCAGGCUGUUCCUCUGCUCCCCAUCGCACUCAACCAGUGUUCGAUCACCAUGAUAUGCAAAGAUGUGUUCACUUUUGAAGAUUGUCGAAAUGCCCAGUCAAACAUUUCGGCAGCUACAGUCAACACAGCCACACAGUGACACAGGACGCGCGGGCCCACCUUCGCUAUUUAGUCGGUCACUUUAGCGGUUGUGCCUCAUGUGCUCCCAUCACCGAUUCACCCCUUUGUUCGUUUCGUCGCUACUGCAAUAGUCUAAACCUUCCCACUCUUCUCCGAUGGCUCCGUCCUUGCUGCUCUUCCUCGUCUCGUCGGUGCCGCUGAUUCUUGCUGCCGGAGAAGAGCACUGCCCGACCGUGCCAGUGGCAUGCGGCAAAGUCAACAUCACCUUCCCGUUCGCGAUCGUCCCGGAUGAGGCCACGGAGACCAGCUGCGGUUUGAUUGGGUUCCAGGUUCGUUGCUCGAACAACACCCCGUACCUCGGCUACCAUAAUGGGCUCUACGGACACCAGUUCCAGAUCCUCGACAUCUUCUACAACAACGCCUCCUUGCUCCUUGCCGAUGUCCACAAGCUCCAAGACUUCAAUAACUCUGCUUCGGAAAAAUGCCACGCCCCGACGAACAACAGCUCCAACAAUCUCGGUAUUCCGUUCUCGAUCAGCCCUAUUAACCAGAACCUGAUCUUCUACAACUGCACGAAGCCCCUGUCGGAGGAGGAGAGGUGGAGCCGCGGGCUUGUGGAGACGACCUGCGGGAACAUGACGUUCGUUCGCGUCGCCGGGCGUUCCGACGGCUUGGGAAGCUACGACAGCUACUUUUUGGAGGGCUGCAACUCUACCGUCGUGCCGGUGCUUGCGAGGUAUGGCCAUGCGAACGCGAGCAACUACAAAGAGCUCAUCAGCGAUGGCUUCGUCUUGACAUGGGAGGCGCCACUGAAGUCAGGUAUAUUUCACUCUUCCAACUAAUACAUCACUUCGACCUAUAGAAGAACCUUGGAACAGCCAGACAUUUCCUAGCACUCCCCUUAGAACGAGCCUCAUCAGCGUAAGGCGUAGAGACUCCAGAGUACGGACCUGACGACCCAACCCACUGAUUUGAUAAGGGCGUAGCGAAACGCAUGUCGUCGUCCCCAACCGCGGUAGGCGUGUUCGCCGCCGCCACUCUGCCGUCCGGCGUACGUCCGUCAACACACAAGUCAAUGAGAUAUUAACACCGGAACAAAUAAAUACAGAAAGGAAAAUAAAAGAAAGAGACAAAAAAAGAGGACCAAUCAGACGGUUGGAGGGACCACGACCAGUCAAACCGCUCGUCACCGUCCUUUCUCCCCUCACCUCAUAUCCGCUCCGCCCCCCAGUCCGUUCCACUCCUUGUUCUCCUCCCUCACCGUCACCGAACUCCAAACCAUUCCACUGCCACCCCAUCCACAAUCCGAUACGCAUCCGCUCCUGCUACUCCUGCUCCUGCUCACUUCCUUCCUCAUCCGGGCGGCGGCGGCCAGCGUGGAGAAGUCGUCAGGCUGCUGGCCGAAGGCUACUGCCAUCGUCGAACCUUCACGUGCUCCCAUGGCUUCGGCCUUGUUGGUCUUCCUCGCCUCGUCGGUGUGGGUGGCCUUCUCGGCACCACUGAUGCCUGCUCCAGCAGCAGAUAGGCAAGGCAGAGAGCACUGCCCGUCCCAGCUAUGCGUCAUUGUGAACAUCUCCUUCCCGUUUGGGCUCGUUCCGGAGGAGGACGCCGUGACGCACUGCUAUGCACUGUUCCUGGUUCGUUGCCGUAACAACACCCCAUACCUCGGAUACUAUCAGACCGAGUUCUUCAUGCAGAUCCUCAGCAUCUUUUACGACAACGCCUCCUUGCUCAUCGCUGAGACCCAGGAUCACAAUGACUCUAGACACCUGGAACUAGGCUGCUACAUCCCGACAGGCAACGCCACCUCCAAGAUCGGUCGUCCGUUCUCGAUCAGCCCCCUCAAUCAGAAUCUCAUCUUCUACAAUUGCAUCAAGCCGCUGCCGCCAUCCGUGGGGCUUGCAGAGACGAUGUGCCGCAACAACACGUAUGUUCGCGUCGCUGCCGAGCGUUACGAUGGUCAUGGCAGCUACUUCUUGGAGGGCUGCAACUCUACCGUCGUGCCGGUGCUUGCGAGGUAUGACCAUGCGAACGCGAGCAACUACGAGGAGCUCAUCAGCGAUGGCUUCCUCUUGACAUGGGAGGUGCCACUGAAGUCAGGUAUAUUUCACUCUUCCAACUAAUACAUCACUUUGUCCUAUAGAAGAACCUUGGAACAGCCAGACAUUUAGCACUCCCCUAGAACGAGUCUCAUCAGCGUAAGGCGUAGAGACUCCAGAGUACGGACCUGACAACCCAACCCACUGAUUUGAUAAGGGUGUAGCGAAACGCAUGUCGUCGUCCCCAACGGCGGUAGGCGUGUUCGCCGCCGCCACUCUGCCGUCCGGCGUACGUCCGCCAACACACAAGUCAAUGAGAUAUUAACACCGGAACAAAUAAAUACAGAAAGGAAAACAAAAGAAAGAGAUUAAAAAAAGAGGACCAAUCGGACGGUUGGAGGGACCACGACCCGUUGCAGCCGCCACCGCCACAGCCACCGUUGCAACCGUGAGCAGGUAAGUUCACUUUUUUAAACGAAUAAAAUACGAUUAGUAGGAUGAUGCUUUGGCUUUGACCUAUAAAAAACUAAGGGCCAGUUUGGCAGGGCUCCGGCUCUGGCUCCGUGCGCUUACCGAAGCACGGAGGAGCCGGAGCCGCACCAAACGGCAUUGACCGCGGAGCCAUUUUUUGGCACAUUUGGGAGGAACCGGAGCCGUUUUAGGCCUGCAUGGAGGAGCCCAAAAAAGUGGCUCCGCGGCUCCGGCUCCGGCUCCACACGAGGAGCCCCUCGCGAGGAGCCCUGCCAAACUCGCCCUAAGCCUAGUUCUAGUUCAAGGAUUCCUCUGUUCUCUCAAACAAGAGCCACAUCGAAGGUACUAAAUAGUGUUCGUAACGAUCGUUAUAGAGGUAGCAGUACUCUACCGCAACAAAGUAGCGGACCCAAGAUAGCAUGUAUAGACUUAACAGCCGCUAUUAUCCACUAUUGCUCGCUAUUGCAGCCUCUGUUGCUCAUGUUAGGCCGCUAUUCGCUAUAUUUACAGUUCAAGUGAUAUAUGACCAUGAAUCAAAUCAAAUGGUUAUAAUAAUGUUUAAAAUGGUUAUUUAGGUAAUGACCAAGAGUUAUUGAUGAAAAAUAAUUUUUUUUAUUUAUUGAUAUGGGAAGUUAAUGUUAAUAUAUAUCCAUACAUCUUAAUUAUACCUAUUUAUUUGUGAUUCUUACCAUGAAAUGUAAACUUGAUGUUAAUAUUCAUAUAUGCUUUAAAAUUGUGACUAUUUUGUGAAUUCCGCUAUUUGAACUUAGCGUCCGCUAUAGCAUCCGCUAUCCGCUACAUCAGCACUAAUUUGCUACCAUACUGCUAAAUGCUAUUUAGUACCUUAGCCAUAACAGGCUAGCAGGGAGCUAGAGACCAUGUAGUAUGGACUACGGACCUGGCAACCCAAACCACCAACCAGCAUACUAUCCACGCUGAUGAUUUGAUAAGGGCGUAAGCCGGUUGUCAUCCCCAACCGUGGCCGCUGCCACUUGUUGUCCGGUAAGUCAAUGAGAUGUUAAAACUUAAAUAAACAAAUUCAGAGAGAUGGAGGCAUGAACCACGACCGGUCGCCACCGUCCUUUCUAGUUUCUCCUAUCAUCUCAUAUCCGUAUCCGUCCCGCUAUCUGUUCCGUGCUCACAUUCCUCCGCCAUUGCCACCCCAUAUGCCUCUGCUUCUCCUCCUGCUGCUCGCUUCCUUCCUCCUCCUCCACUGGGCAUCAAAUGAUGAAAAUCAUCUUCAUGUUUAGUCAUAAAUUCUUCUUUUUCCUUUUCUUUUAGGCUUUCUUCUGCCUAUAUAUACUGUCAAGUCUUAUUUGCAGUAACAAAAGUAGUUCAGCUAUAGACUAAAGAGGGCAAAGUUUUCAUGUCAGACUAACUUAAACUGCACAAUUUUACAAUUGAAAUGACAAGCUAUUCACAGUGACUGUUCUUAUGCAGGAGGAAGCAAUAGGAAAAAGAUAGUCAGUAUCAGUGAGUAUCAACUCUCAACCUUCAUGGCUUAUCUAUUAUACUUGAUCUCUUUUCCUGCUCUACUGAAACUUUGUAGCAUCAUAUGUUUUCAGCAUCUAUUUGAUUAAUUAGUUAUUGCAUAUUGCUAACACCUUUACACUGUUAUUGCAUAUUGGGAAAUUUGGAGGAGGAUUUGUUGUCUUUGAUUAUAUGGCUUCUUCAUAUUUUCUUACUUUGCACUUCUUCUUUUGUUUUUUUUGUAUAAAAAAGAGAAAAAUAUGAAUUGUUGACGGUCUUGGAAAUAUGAAUGAUAAUAAUAUAGCAGCUCACUGUUUCAAGAGAAAAAGAGAAAAAUAACAUAUGCUUUAAUUUCAGUUUCGAUGACAGUAGCUGCAAGCUUGCUCCUACCAUGUAUAUAUAUGCUUGUAUGGCAUGGAAAGAGAGGAAAGCUACAUUUUUUCCUAUGUGAAAAGACUAGCAAAAGCACUGAAAGGAACAUUGAGGCCCUAAUAGUUUUGCAUGGAUCCCUAGCUCCAAAAAGAUACAAGUACUCACAAGUAACAAAGAUAACGUCUUCCUUUAGUGAUAAGCUUGGGGAAGGUGGUUAUGGUUCGGUUUUCAAAGGAAGGCUAGAUGAUGGUCAUCAAGUUGCUGUGAAAUUCUUACACGACUCCAAAGGAGAAGGGGAGGAUUUUGUUAACGAGGUUAUGAGCAUUGGCAGGACCUCUCAUGUUAAUAUUGUUAGCUUAUUUGGGUUUUGUUUGGAAGGCUCAAAGCGGGCCCUAAUAUAUGAGUACAUGCCCAAUGGUUCUUUGGAUAAGUUCAUAUACUCAGAGAGUCCUAAAGCAGUUUUAGGAUGGGAUAAGCUCUACACAAUAGCGAUUGGAAUUGCUCGAGGAUUGGAAUACUUGCAUCAUAGUUGUAAUACACGCAUUGUCCAUUUUGAUAUCAAGCCUCAAAAUAUCCUUCUAGAUGAGGAUUUUCACCCAAAGGUUGCUGAUUUUGGUUUAGCCAAAUUGUGUCAUACCAAGGAGAGCAAGCUUUCUAUGACUGGUGCUAGAGGAACAGUUGGUUUUAUUGCUCCUGAAGUUCACUCUCGAACCUUUGGAGUUGUUUCAACAAAAUCAGAUGUUUAUAGUUAUGGAAUGAUGUUAUUAGAGAUGGUUGGAGGCAGAAAAAAUGUGAAAUCAGUUGCUCAGAAAUCAAGUGAAAAGUAUUUUCCACAUUGGAUUUAUGAUCGUGUUAGACAAGGUGAUGGAUUACAAGCAUGUGAGGUCUCAAGUGAAAAUGAAGGAAUAGCCAAAAAGAUGAGUGUGAUUGGCUUGUGGUGCAUCCAAAUACUACCAAUGCAUCGCCCUACAAUAGCAAAGGUUUUGGAAAUGUUUGAGCGAGGUUUAGAUGAUUUGGACAUGCCACCGAGACAAAACUUCAGCCAAAUUCUGUAAGAUGUUCACGCUACUUAUUUCUGGAACUACUCACUACUAUUUACUAUAAUGUUGAUGUUUUAGAAACAAUUCUUUUCAUUCUUUUGCAGCGAAGAUCCAUGUUGCAAUUUGAAUGCAGAAAGCACGAGUACAAGAAGUGGUACCAAAACUCAAGUUUUUAGCGAAGUGCUAAAAAUGAAGGAGAUGAGCGUUGUGAAUUCAAAAAGUUUACAUCGGUUACCAACUCUGUGACAAGGUUACCUAGCAUUGGAAUUAUGCACUGAACUUAUGCAUCUAUAUGAGCUAGGGUAGAAAUCUUAAGUUACUCUGAUACUUGUCUCAAAAGAAACAUGCUCACUAUACUAUUUUGCAUUCAAAGUCAUUAAGGCCCCAAGAAGGAAAGUUUUGCAACUAUGCAUACGAUAUUUUGACAUAAUCCUAACAUUUCUAUAUCUUUGUUAGUUAGACCUACAUAAUCCUAACAUUUCUAUAUCUUUGUUAGUUAGACCUUCUCAUUGUUCUUCACUGACGCACCAGCACCCCUUAUAGUCAUCCAUCACCCAAAAUUUACCAAACGCUAAUGACACAUCUGUACCAGAAUCAGGUAAAUGAAAAGGUAUCCAAGGCAUUACACAUACUAGAAAAAAAUCAAGGCAUUAUAGUUUUCGAGUCACGGCCUUAUUAGUAGAGUCGAUCAAGCAUAUAGUUGGAUCCUAAAUUAUUGCCAUGUUGAAAUAUGAGGAUGAAGGCAUAAAGUUGAUCGUAGCCAUGAGUCAUGACACAUGUAUAACUGAGGCCUAAAGGAUCAUAAAUUUUGCUUGACAGUUAUGUAGUUUCUAAAUUUAACCUUCCGGUUCCUAACAAAAGUUAAGGUUGAUAGUUGACACCCACAAGCCGUCCAACUGAACCCUAAAAAGAAAACUACUCAAUCCAAAUACUCGUGGUCUCAAUGCAAAAUCAGAAUACAUUUUCAAACAAUAGAAGGACCGAAUCAGAUUGAUCUACGCAUCUGAUAACUAAAAAUCACAUAUGUGGGUAAAUCGAUCAUAAAUCUUGUGGAAGUACGGAACCAGGGGCGGAUCCAGGGCCCGGGCUGCUCGGGCUGCAGCCCGGGGCGAGACCGUGGAGUCCCUUUAACCUACGUACUGUUUAGCCUAACAAAAUAAGGUUUAUGAGACAAAAUUAGACUAUUUUAGAUGUGAUUCAACAGCUCAGCCCGGGGUGCAGCCCCGUUCUGGAUCCGCCCCUGUACGGAAACCAAUCAAAAUGUGUGAUACUUACAUGGUUCUUCGAAUGCCCGCUGCUUCUACUAUUCUUCCAAGGCGACAAGGGUAGGUUAGGCAGGCGUACCCAAAGGGUUUAUGCCACUGAUGGUGCGAGAUUGGAUUAGUACUGCAGCCUCUCCAUCUACCACCCUAAUCACCAGCACGGAGCCGGCGAUGCGGCAAGGCGCAGAGUGGAGAGAUUCUUGAGGGAUUUCCUCAUGCCCUCAUAGGAUGGUACCAAUUUUUUUUGGUACUGGCUGCUAUUGCGCCGUAGGAGAUGGCUGGGGAUGGUGCUAUAACUGUUGUUCACCGCCGCUCAUCUCGAUGGCAAGACGGCAACUGCAACAGCUCGGCAACUCGUUCGUCAGUCGUUGCGGCCUAGAGCGGAUCUCCAUGGACCGAGUCCAUCUGAGGCGAGGGCCCAUCAUGAAAAGUUGGACCGUGCCAGGUCCACGCAGGCACGCCGUCGCCUCCGAUGGCCCAAUACAAUUUGUCAGCGUCUCCAAAAAAGAACACAAUGCAUAUGAUGUGUGCUCUCUGCACAUCCUGACUUGGGAAGGUGACAGGGUUUUGUUUUCAGGAAGCUGGAUGCAUAGCCUGGACGUUUUAGGUUGUGUGGUGAAUACAGUGCUAGUCGUCUCCUCUGAUGCUCUCUUGGAAUGGCCGAGUGGCCGACGAUGUUUGUACCGGCCUGGAGUCCUUUCAAUAUCUAACUGUUGCCAGCUGUAUGUAGUUAACUUUCAGGGUUAGUGUUUGGCAUAAAUGAGUGAAGCUUGCUUGGCCGACAAGAGCGUGUAUUACCCGGAGCUGAUCAGGCUCAGGGCGCGCAUCCAGUCACGUCAGUGUCUCAUGACAGUCGUCGCUUUGCCCCGUCCCAUACGGGCACAUCGGACGUUUCCGUGCGCGGAUGACGAUGGUCCCAAUGUGUCCACUCAAAGCUUUCUGCCGCUACAGUCUACACAGGGCGCGCGACUCACCAGCUUCACCAUUUAGUCUGGCGCUUCUGCCUAUCUAUAUUCGUCCAGAACUGAUUCACCACUCUGUUCGUCCUGCUACUGCCAUCGUAGAAACCUUCCCAUACGCUCCCAUGGCUCCGUCGUCCUUGCUGCUCUUCCUCGUCUCGUCGGUGCCGGGUGAUGCUUGCGGCAGCAGCAGCAUACGUGCAAGGAGGAAAGGACCGCGCACCUGUGGUAUGCGGCAACCUCAGCAUCUCCUACCCGUUUGUGUUACUCUCGGAGGAAGCAACGGAGUAACUACGCAGUGCUCGGAUUCCAAGUCGUUUGCUCAGGCAACACCCUUUACCUCGGGUUAGGUUUUAAGGUAUCGUUCCAGAUUCUUAACAUCUUCUACGGCACGGGCUCCUUAUUCGUUGCCGAUGUCUACAAGCUCCACGACUUCAAUAGCUCCGCGCCCAACGGCUGCCAUGCCCCAGGCGUCAACGUCUCCACAAAGCUCGGCAGCCCAUUCUCAAUCAGCCCCGUCAAUCAGAACCUCAUAUUUUACAACUGCACCAAUCCAGCGGCAGAGGAGGAGAGGCAGAAACGCGGCCUUGUGGGGACGGCAUGCCGCAACAACACGUUUGUUCGCGCCGGAGGUCGUUACGACGAGACGAGGGGUCGGGCAGCUACAGCAAUUACUUUCUGGAGGGCUGCAACACUACCGUCGUGCCGGUGCUUGGGAAUUCUGGCGAGGCGAACGCGAGCAGAUACGAGGAGCUCAUCAGCGGCGGCUUUCUCUUGACACGGUCGUCAUCGCCACGUAAAUUUCACUAAGAUUAAUUUAAGACCAUCCUACAGGGAGAACUCACAACAAUGAACAAUGCAUAUGCAUCAAACUCGUGGAAGGUAUUGUUGGACGUUGAAGGUGGCGUAGCUCGAUGCAUGACCCACCGGGCCAAAAUAGUCUAAUUAGGGAUGGUUUCCUCUUCAUGCCAUUUUUUGCUGCCCGGUGUACAUGUACAACCUGCCGCGGCGCUCGUGUGCCUCUGCCCCGACGGCAAGCGUAGUAGUUGGCUUGAGUGGAAGCUGGUACCUAGGAGUAGUAGAGGCUGGUAUAUACUGGGGCAGCACGCGGGCUGAGAGAGAGGCCUCCCCCAAACCCUAACCUCCAUUCCGUCGCCUCCCCGCAGCCCCGCUCCCUCGCUCCUCUGCAGAUCCGCCGCCCAGAGGAAGAGGAAGAGUAGCACAUCGUGGACGUCGGCAUCCCUGACACCGUCCCUAAGGGCGGGGUCCUCGGCGGGGAGCAUGGCCGCGAGCGUGCCGAGCGCGAGCGUAGCCUGCUCCUACUGGAUCUACAGUGCCUCCGCCAACGCGGUGGCACCCACGCGCCCGCCUCCAGGGCCGCGGCGGCGAGCUUCUCCUUGAGCUAGGCGAGGGUCUGCACUAGCGUGCCCUCCAGGAAGAUGAGCUUGGAGAUGGGCAGGAGGCUGUGCUCGAACGCCUCCCGACGCGGGCAGAGCAGCGCCGCGGGGGUGGCGGCGGUGUCGUUGUGGUAGGGGACAGGAAUGGAGCCGUGUCCAGCGGCGAGUCGAGGGUCUCGUCGGCCAUCGUGGCGACAUGAGAGGGGAGGCGUGGGGGAGGGGGAAGAUCUGGGAGUACGGUGGGAACGGUGAGGAAAAGGCAGAGGCAGUGACUCGAUGCGUGCAGGUUUUUUUUCCUUUCUCUUGUUUGAAGGGUAGUUUGCUUGUUAAAUAAGGGUUGGUUUGAUGCCAUGUCCGCGGGCUGGCACGAGCACGGCGAGGCUGUUAAAGCCCGCUGAGCCAGCGUGCUGGCACGGUCCACCUAAGAAGGCAGCGGGCCGUGUAUUGGCCGCUUCUUCGGCACGUGGGCCAGCACGGCACGGCACGGUUACUAUAUGGGCCUAAACGUUCCGAGUCAAAUCGUGCUCGUGCCAGGCCAGGCCGGACCGCCUGUUUGGCCAUCUAUACGGCCGCCACGCAGACAGCCAUCUUUUCCAGCUCAAGUGUAACAGCAGCGAGAGGUGGAUCUGGAAAAAGGUUAUAUAGGGGGGCUGAGCAUUGGGCUCAAAUGCAUUGUUAAACUAAGUUUGGGCUACUUCAUAUUGGGCCUAGUUACAUUUACCGGUCCAAAACUAAAACCACCCACUUCAACCUUCAGAUCUUACUCCAGUCUCCAGCUUACUUGGGGCCUAGGCUCCCUUGUAUCAGUGUCAGUAGGCCCCCUUAUCCCCACGCUGGAUCCGCCCUGGCAGCGAGGCCUUCUUAAGCAAAUCAAUCUCUUCCUGGAGUAUCCGGUGGUCAGCAUCUUCACCGAGAAUCAAUCUUUAGGCCUCCUCCAACAGUUGCUUCAUUGUAAAUUUAUUAUAACAGAUAGUAUAAGAGUCAACUUCUCCAACAAAAUAAAGAAAGAUGAUUGGAAAAGAUAAAAUACUUGGCCGCCAAAAACUGGGAAGCGUGCUUGAUGUUCAAGAGAUAACUUUUCUUUAUCUCUUCUUCAUCUCUCCUCCACAUAGGACAAUUAAUGACAUGACCUGCCUAAGAGUUAGUUGACAUGGUUUUAUUGAAGGAGGCCUUAGAUCAGAUCAGCGUUGUUGUUUUCGAGGGUGCUUCGAUGAGAGAGAAAAAGAUUCUCAUGGUGCUAUAUGGUGGAGUAGAGGGUGCUGGGGAGCAACUUCUUAGCACGGAUGCCCAAUUUUGCACCAGGUGCUACACAUACAAUUUAUUUUUUGGAGCAGCGUGAGUGGUCGGACAGGGAAGAGAGUGAGGAGAAAAAUUGGACUGCUGAUUUUUUUUUAUUCAGCUGGGUACCGAGGUUGGGGGUGCUCCACGCUGGAUCAAAAUAGUCCGAGCUCUACCUUCGUGACGUGUCCUUCGUGCUUUUUCUUCAAACGAACAUACGACUGCUGCUGGUCUUACAUGUCAAUAAAUAUCAAUAUUAGGACAUCCAUAUUAGCUAAUUACUGGUAAAAAAUUAUUGGGGAAAUGUUGGAGAUGCUCUUAAAGAAGGGGUUUCUCCUUGUCGGUGUUUUGUUUUGCCGACUAGUGAUUGUACGCCGCGCUCGCGCUCUCCUCCCUUCCGAUGGCUAGCGCACAAGAGACAAGGAAUUAUACUGGUUUGGGAAGAUCCCUACGUCCGAUUUCGGCAGAAGUCAUGUUCCUUGGAUCAGGUGCACUGAGCUUACAACAGGGUGCUUACAAGCAAGCGUGCAUGCGAUGCGAGGGUGUGUGUGUGAGUGUAGGAAGGCCCGGUUCCCUUUAUAUAGGAUAGGGACUGGGUGAUAAUGUUGAGAAAUGGAGGGGGUCCCCGACCUCUGAGGUCAGGGGUUGUGGCGUGGUCGAGCUGCCUUGUGUCAGGGAACUUCCUUGUCCUAUCUUCUUGGCCGGUCGUGGGCUUUGCACGCCCUGUACGGUGGCUCCUGUGCAGCGUGGACCGCUUACACAUGGCCUAGCCUGUUCCACGGCGUGCUCCAUCCCGUUUGCCAACCCCGUGGUAGUGAACGGGACGGAAGCUGCCUCUGAUGUCCGUACCGGAGAUGAGUGAGUGAGCCUUGGUCAGCGGCUUGGAAGAGGCAUGCUACUUCCCCAGCUUUCCCAGACCUCCUUAGUGUGCUCACAGCCACCCCACGCUGUUAUGCCUGACGCUAGAUCCCGCCUCGCCUGCGAGCCCAUAUGAGGCCUAGCAUGGUCUUGACGGGUCACCAUGGUAGCGAGGGUGAUAAUGACGUUGGGGCGCGUGGGCUCAUACGACUGCGCGUGCUUGCAGGUCGUCCUGAGCAGUCCGAGGGGUGUAGCCUCACCCUCGGACCCCCUAGCUAAAGGUCAUCUCCCUUCGCCAGGUCAUGUCCCAGCGUGGGGCGGUCAGGAGGGCCACACCCUGCAUUUAAUGCUCCCGGUACGACACCGGUCUCCCCUUAGUCAAGGAGUGGGUGGGGCCCUGUGGGCCCCUUACGGGCUGCGCUCCCAAUCUAGCUGAAUCGGUGAACUAUGGCCCUCAACUCCCGACCAAGAGAGGUCGGGUGAUAGGUCGCAGCGUCGUCUAGGCCACCUCCAAUACGCCUCUCGCUGUUGGACCUUUAGUCUUUUUGCAUCCGGUUACCUUAAAUUCCUUCCCCGAGUACCCCUGGCCCGUCACUCCUGGAGUGGACAGAGGUGCCAGGGAUUGCCCGAAGUGCAUGGAAAGGCAUUGCUCCGGCGUCAAGUGCGGUGAGUUUAGGAUACUGAUUGGGCUCGAGGAGAUUCUUAAAAAGAAAUCAUAUGAGGAUGCAUAGGCCGGCCCUAACUCUUGCAAUUUCGUACACAAGCAUUCCAUGUCUACCUAUUUAAACACACAACUUUUUCAUCAAUAAUUAGCCCAUGUAGAUUACAUGAUAUAAAUUUAUUAUCUAUGGAUUCAUAUUCAAAAGCACUCUGCAUUACCUGGAACAUUUGGAAGGACCGCAACGAUCUUGUGUUCAAUGCGAAAUUAACUCCACCGGCCGCCUGCGUCCGUGCCAUCGCAGUCGAUCUUGACCUGUGGGCUCAUCGUGCCCUUGGGAACACAGACACAGAUGUGGCGUACCUUAUUUUGUAACAUAACUUAAGUACUCUCACCUCUCUUCUACCCCCACAUCGCAAAAACUCGCAUAUUAAUACAUGGUUCAAGCCGGCUACUUGCCUGCCUUGGCACCUUUAAAAAAAUAUUCAAAAGCACUUUCAUAUACUUGAUGUCAAUUACAUGGUCGUAAAUAAUGUAAGGUAAUAUAAUACAAAAUAGAAUAAGAGAUUCUGAUGGUCAAGGUGUAGCCUUAAAUACCACAAUGAGGCAAACUGCGGCAUGCGUCAAGUGUAUCAUUCACUAUCAAUUGUAUCAUUCACUAUCAAUGCAUCUCCUUUGUCAAUUGUCGCUUCCAGCUCUAAUAAAAAGGAAGGGCAAUAUUAUACACACAAGAAUGGCAGAUCGCAGAUGUCAACUCAGGGGUGUAGCAUAUUAUUUGAAUUUUAUUUGCAAAUUCGGAACUGUCAAAUAUGCCACUCAUUCCUUCCUUUAAGCAAAAGAAUCAAUAAGUGCUAUUUGAUGCUUUUCUAAGCUAAUGCUAUUUCAGGUAGCAUAAGGAUUAGCUGGAGGAUAAUAAUGAUAGGUAUGCUACAUUUAACAUAAUUUCAUAUCAAGCAAUUCAAAUUUCAGUACUUACAUACUGCAACAAGUUACUUUUUUAUUUUUAGUCUUCGGAAGACCAGAUAAGAGCUAUUAUAACAUUUAUCAUAUAUGAUUGUGCAUAGAUUCUAGAAUGAAAUUUUAGAACAAGUUAUCCACAAUCUGUGUCUUCUAUUAUAAAUUAGGCAACUUUGAGCAAGAUUCACUGUCCUUAAUUAUAUAGCUUCUUCAUAUUUUCCAGCUAUGCACUUCUUCUUUUAUUUUAUUUUUAUAAAAAGAGACAACAACGGAUAUUAAUGGUCUUGGAAAUCUGAAUGAUAUUAAUAUAACAAGCCACUAUUUGAAGAGAAAAAUAACAUCUACUUUAAUUUCAGUUUUGAUGUUAGUUGCUCCUACCAUGUAUAUAUGUGCUUGCAUGGCAUAGAAAGAGAGGAAAGCUACAGUUUUUCUAUGUGAAAAGACUAGCAGAAGCACUGAAAGGAACAUUAAGGCCCUAUUAGUAUCGCAUGGAUCUCUAGCUCUGAAAAGAUACAAGUACAUGGAGAUACAAUUACAUGGAAGUAACAAAGAUAACAUCUUCCUUUGAUAAUAAAUUUGGGGAAGGUGGUUAUGGUGUGGUUUUCAAUGGAAGGCUAGAUGAUGGUCAUCUAGUGGCUGUGAAAUUCUUCCACAACUCCAAAGGAGAAGGAGAGGAGUUUGUUAACGAGUUAUGAGCAUUGGCAGGACCUCUCAUGUUAAUAUUGUUAGCUUAUUUGGGUUUUGUUUGGAAGGCUCAAAGCGGGCCCUAAUAUAUGAGUACAUGCCCAAUGGUUCUUUGGAUAAGUUCAUAUACUCAGAGAGUCCUAAAGCAGUUUUAGGAUGGGAUAAGCUCUACACAAUAGCGAUUGGAAUUGCUCGAGGAUUGGAAUACUUGCAUCAUAGUUCUAAUACACGCAUUGUCCAUUUUGAUAUCAAGCCUCAAAAUAUCCUUCUAGAUGAGAAUUUUCACCCAAAGGUUGCUGAUUUUGGUUUAGCCAAAUUGUGUCAUACCAAGGAGAGCAAACUUUCUAUGACUGGUGCUAGAGGAACAGUUGGUUUUAUUGCUCCUGAAGUUCACUCUCGAACCUUUGGAGUUGUUUCAACAAAAUCAGAUGUUUAUAGUUAUGGAAUGAUGUUAUUAGAGAUGGUUGGAGGCAGAAAAAAUGUGAAAUCGGUCGCUCAGAAAUCAAGUGAAAAGUAUUUUCCACAUUAGAUUUAUGAUCAUGUUAGACAAGGUGAUGGAUUACAAGCAUGUGAGGUCUCAAGUGAAAAUGAAGGAAUAGCCAAAAAGAUGAGUGUGAUUAGCCUGUGGUGCAUCCAAAUACUACCAAUGCAUCGCCCUACAAUAGCAAAGGUUUUGGAAAUGUUUGAGCGAGGUUUAGAUGAUUUGGACAUGCCACCGAGACAAAACUUCAGCCAAAUUCUGUAAGAUGUUCACGA
rnacentral:lncRNA from 1 species